GGGUUUUUGCUUUCCCCAGCACCCAGCCUCUAUAAAUCAGAAGCCCGAGCCAACGCCGCCACCAUCCCCGUUCGUCCCCAACUCGCCAAAUCCGCAGCCGCCGCAAGCACAGAGACCCUCUAGAUCGAGCGCGAGCUCCACCCCCGCCGCCGCGAUGAGGGCCAAGGUUCGUCUCGAUUCUGUUCCUCCGCCUCCGUUGCGAUAUCGUUUGCUGUUUCGAUGAUGCCAUGACAUUGCGUAGUAGAAUUAGAGAACUAGUGCUGUCCUAGGGUUUGGUUCUAGAAGCUGUGCUAUGCGUGGUUUCUGCUGAUUUUGUCUUCGAUUCGAACGGUUAUGCUAUGCUGUUCUCUAUGAUGACGAAACACAGAUGACGAGUCUGACGAAAUCCAUUCCAUUAAACCAUGGGGACAAUCGAGGCAUUUGUCUGAGAGAACACUGAUCUGCUAGAAAAAGAUUUGUUUCGUCUAUGUCCUGUUUUAAAUUUCGGUUUAUUUGUUCGCAAUUGUUUCGGCAGUACUGGCAUAAUGAGGAAAAUCCUUAUUUUUCUGAUAUAGUUGAUGAUAAAUACCUCCUACUCAUUCUGAAUGCCAGAACACUGCCUGUUAUCCCUGUUUUGUUUUGUUUUCUUUUUGAAAGAGGUACCUUGUUUUGUUGGUAGAUUAGAUAAGGUUUGUUGGCUUUUGCCAUGUUCACUCUAAUCGGACAGAUUCAGAUCUUUUUUUAGGAAUCCUUAACAUUUUUCGCAAAAAAGAGUAAUCCUUCAUUGCUUGAUGUUGGGAUAUGAUGAAGAACCUUUGGUCCGUGUUUCUGAUCAACCCUUGAUGAGUAAACCACUCCUAAAGAAUCUGAUCCCAAACAAUUUAUAAAAAUAAUUGUGCUUUGUUCUGUAUAUUUAUCUAAUCCGAUAAAUUUGCCUGACACGAAGGAUACUGAUGCAUCUUGGCUUGUUCUGAUGUUCAGUGGAAGAAGAAGAGAAUGAGGAGGCUCAAAAGGAAGCGCCGAAAGAUGAGGCAGAGAUCCAAGUAGGCUUGCCUGGAGGAUGAAGGGAACUGUCUGUUGCAUUGUGACCUAGGCUUGUUAGGAUAAACACCCCGACGUGCUUUGGUGUAGAUGCAGGAGAUGUUUACCUUCUUGGGGUCUAGUUUUAUUUUUAGCUCAUCAAAACUCUGGUCAUGUUCUAAGGCUGGGUUUUAUGUAAUGUGAGGAUAAUAUGUUGCUUUGUGACUGAGUUUAUGCAGUUAAACGAGAUUUCUUGCACUAAAAAAUAUACUUACUGCCUAUCUGUUACCCUUGUGAUCGGUAGUUGUUUCCGUUAUCUGUGCUGUUUUCUCACGCGCUGUGGCAAUUUUCAGAAUCUCAGGAUGUUUUGCAUUGCUCCAUGGUGUAGAUGGAAUAGUUGCUUUGUUUUUGGUUGAGGCAUGACUGCAUCACUUGUUGAUUACAGAGCAGAGAGCGCUGGUGUUUAUGAGUUACAUUGGAUUUGUAUUGCUGUUGAGUUGUUAAUUACUGGAGUUUUAUAUCUCGUAUAGCUCUGGUGUUCUACUUUGCUUCGAUAAAUGAUGCCAUUUUAGCAGGCGAUUCUAAUUCUGCUGUCAGCUCCUGAUAUGUCAUGUUGAGAUCACUCCAUUGAGAUUAUGUGAAUCUUGAACUGUGUGCAAUUCGAAAUUGUAGAAAUAAUUGACUGCUUUGGGAUGGGAUUUGGGUUUGCAAUAUGUGGAGGAACAACAUAGACCUGUCUGGUUCAAACAGGCGUCAGUGAAAAAGCCUUCAGUGAACUCGUGGCGUCGACUCGUGAACUCUGAAACAGAUGAGGUGCAGGUGCACAAUAGAGACGGCUGGCCUCGCACCUGCACCAGCACCACUCCCUUAUCCGCUGGGCCUAGCAUGAAUUUGUUCGUAACCGUUUAUAUUCCUGCCAGCCUGAUCCCUGCACUAGAACUGAGAGCUUCUCAACUCAUCCGUUAAUGGAGGCCAUAGUCAGGGCAGGUGUAUCUUCCUCGGCGCCGGCGCAGCUACGCCCGUGCCCGAUGCCGUGCCGCAACCGCUGCCUACCGUCCUCCGUGCGCCGUCCCGGACGCCGGGGAGUUGCCUGCUCGGCCUCGGCGGCCGACGCCGACGUCGUCGAUCUCUUCGAUGCCGCCAAGCUCACGGUAUGGUAGUGAGAUACCUCACCGUUCGUUCGUGAGCAAGCCGUGUAUGUUCUCCAACGAAUUUUUGUUCUCUGUAGGUGGACAGGUUCGUGCAGAGCGGCAUGGUGGUCGGGCUAGGCUCCGGCCCGGCGUCCGCCCUGGCGGUCCAGUACCUCGGCACGCGCCUCCGCCGGGGAUCUCUCACCGAAAUCGUCGCAGUAACCUCGUAAGUUCUGAAUUUCUGAUUGCCAUUGCAUGAUCUGUUCCUUCUUCGUCACAGACUCAGAGUAACCUAGUAACUCUGAAUUUCUGUUUUCUGAUUGCCACUGCAUGAUCUGUUCCUUCCUUUGUGCAUGAAAGUGCUUCUUUUCUCAUCAGACACUCGAAUCAGUUUGCAUCUAAUCAGCUCUUGGGAUUGAUUGACCAGCCAGGUCCGUGCUCAGUGCGAGCGAGGCAGACAAGGCCGGAAUACGGGCUAGCAGCUAUCAGGAAGGAACCCAAGUGAGUAUGCGCAGUGCUGUACGCCUGUAACCAUCAGCUGUAAACCUCUUCUUACAACACGGGAAGAACAGCAUCUGAAACUGUGCUCUGCUCACUGACGUAUAGAUUGAUUUUGCUUUCACUGAUGCUGAAGUAAUCGAAGAGGGCACGCUGGCUGCCGUCAUCGGGCGGCGCAAGACCGAGAGUGGAGAGCCCUCUUUCAUGGUGGAGAAGGUAUUUGACUACUUAAUCAAUGUCUUCAGAGUUAGCGCGUGCAUGGAUUUCUGAUGGAUAAUCAUUCGUAUGUAGGCAACAGUAAUAGAUGCAUUGCAUAUCUGAACCAUUUAUUUGAUUUCAACCAUGUUGUCCCAUGUGUUAUACAGGCAAUGGUUAAAUCAGCUGAUAAACUUGCCUUCAUCACUGGAAAUGACAAAUACCUGACAGGUGUUGAGGGUUCCAUUCCAGUCAUAGUUAAAAGUGUAAGGAAAAAAAAAUCCUGUUGCUUCAGAUAUGGUCAGUUUUAUACAAUGUUUAUGAAGAGAGGAACAGAUGAUUUCAGGGAAAUUGGAUAGACACUGCUGAAGAGAUCGACGAUUUGUUCCUAGGGGAUGCAGAGGUGCCCUCAUCCAUACGAAUACUCAAUAGUUAAAUUUUCAGAACUCGAAUACCUGCUGGACUGCUGAAACUGAAACGCUCAUGAAUGUUUGGUCACCAUUGUAUGCGAUUUUCUGAUCAGGUUUGGAGGAGGCCAUCAUUUGGGACUGCCGGUCCACUAGGGGGUGAUCACCCAUUGGUCACUAAGGAGGGUCAUCACGUUCUUGAUGUGAUCUUUACGACUCCAAUCCCAGAUCUAGGUAAGCUGAUGGAAGAUCAUUGCAACAAAGGGGCUAAACUCAUCUUGAGUCCAUUAGACCAUUUCUUGGGCCAAAGCUUUAGCUGGUUGCUUUGCCAUAUUUAUUGCAGGUCAGGUAGCAGAGAAGUUGGACAAAGUUGCUGGCGUUGUGGAUCAUGGGAUUAUUUGUAGCAACCAGUAAUUUUCUUAACGCAAGCAUACAGAAUAAUAUUUUUAAUUAAUUUUGUGGGGAUGGUUUACGGAGGUGUGUUUCAGGUUUUCUUUUUCCCCCAAAAAGGUGCUUCUCAGUGUUCUUACACGCUGCAUCUCCUGCCCUGCAGAUCGUAUGCGGUGAUUGCAUCCAAGGGGGAAGUGCAGGUUAUUGAGGAGAAACCCUCGGUGAUACCGUAGCGCUGCAGAAAUCUUCCAGUUGCCUGCAGAGGCGCCAUUUUUCUCCACACAUUCCGGAUAAGAGUACUUCCAGGUUGGCUGGAAAAUGCCUGAGAGUUAAAUAAUAUAGUAGCACCAAAUGUAAUCUCUUCAGUAUCCAACACUCUAUGCACCAGUAUGCAAAACCUUCCACUUCGUGUGCAAUGAAGAUCAACAAAUCUGCAGUCACAGACUGUUAACAUGCCGAAAACACCAUUUUCCAUGGCAGGUUACUGAUAACUAUGCUCGUAGGUCCAAAAAAAUUAGUUGGGCAGCAAAGCAAGUAUGCUUGACAGAAUGUCGACUGACAAAUACUAGCGCUUUGCAAUUUUCAUCCAGGAUACAUAAAAUGGCAGUGUUGAACCGCAGGACUUCCUCUUCCUGGCUUCUUGUCCCACAUGUCAUAGAAACAUUUUCUUGCCAAAAAUUUUCACAAAUGUGGCUUCAAUAUUGCUAGCCAAAAUGAUUUUGGCAGCCACAAGUCGCCUAAUGUUAAGGUUAGGCACCAACCAAACAGAAAGCUCCACCUCCCAGCUCCAAUCCAAGCAGCCGUCAGAGACAUACAGUACUAAUAAAACUUUUUUAGGGAAUGCUAUUGUUUCGCCCAAAAAGCAGAAACUGCAAGCACAAGUGCACAACAUGUUCAGUUCCCCAACUAUGCCUGAACUCUAAAACACACACAGAGAGAUCAAUACAAUUUCUUGAUUCAUAUGGCUCGUUCUUUCUAAUCAUGUGACACGGCAAAGUUCUUGCCGUUAUCCCGAAUAAAAAGAUAUAAUCCAUACGGCUGACAGAUAUCUCUAAAUAAACACAACUAGCAAUCAUAUUUACGCUGCAACCUCAGCACACAAGGAACGUCUGUAAGCAACUUGAAAAGAUGUGUCAUUAUCUCCUUACUCCUGCUUUUUCUCCAACACCACCUUCCUGCUGUCGAAGAAAAACAGUUUAGAACAAUUUAGAAGACGUGCAAGUUCCGUCAAGUUUAGCUAGAGACAUUAGUAGGUUUCAUGAAUUCAGCAGACAUAUACAAAUGAAGGGCGUGGUUGUAUCACGGUACAACAACCUGAGUAGCUACAGGACAUUUGGCCUGUUCGUUUCAGCUUAUUCAGCCGGUUUAUCAGCCACCAAACAGUAUUUUCCUUUCACAACAAAUCAGUCGUUUCAGCUUUUCAGCCGGCUUAUAAGCUGAAGCGAACAGGUCCGCCUUCAGGCAGUCACAUGAAGAUGCCACUCCUUGGCGUCUCGUUGCCCGGAGGAAUCACCAUGGCGAAGAAAUUGGAAGGCAGCUCCGUGAAAGUGAAGCCAUCCGAGCGUCACUACAUAAAACGAUUUGUAGGGCACCCCAUAUUUUAUUUUUAUAAGGAUAGGCGAAAUUGCUAUCCGCAUCUACAAAACGGAUCGCUAUUGUAGCAUACGACCUACCCGUGGAGAACCAUUUGUAGGGAUGGGCCACGGGACGACCCGCCCCUGGGGGGCGAUUUCGAUUUUCAUGGGCGGGCGAUGGGGUGUCCCGUCCAUGGAAAUCACAAUUUGCAAGGGGCGAGUGACGGUAUCACCCGCUCCCGAAAAUUAUUUCCAGUAACGAGUGAUGACGUGGGCCGCUUCUAGAAAUGGUACAAUUUCUUGAUGCAUGAAUGCGCCAUGAACAUCCUUAGCAGAACACUUUGCAUGGUGCCUCAUUGCCUUCUUGAAUGUGAAUAUGGCAAGAAACAAGUUCACAAAAAUAUAAACCGUAGCUCAAAAAAUAAGUGUCAUAUAUAAACCAACAUAUAAAUCAUGUCACAACUCAACAUAACCACAACCAAAUGAUAGAUCCCACAGAACAGAUAAGACAUGUCACAUUACAUAUAAAGUUUGUAGAUCACAACUCAACAUAACCAAAUAACAAAUUCCACGCAACAGAAACAAAACCAAGAUUCAUUGACAAAUAACACUACUACACUAUCCAUUUCUUCACUUAGCAUUAGCUACUCCUAAGGCAAAUAUCCCAAGCAUAACACCUACAAUCAAGGUCACAACAGUAGUGAUGACAGCCACGUUGCAUGCACCCCCAACAGUCUUUUUUUUCUGGCCACAACAGCCUUGUUUUCUUUCCCAAAAGAUGCUUCAACUCUCCCACUUCCAACUUUAGUUUAUUAACAUUCCCUUUCAUUUCUCCACACUGGAUCUUCAAUUCACACAUCUCCAUCUUCAGAUCACAAAUUGCCAAUUUUAUUUGACUUAUCUCAUUCAACAUGCCAUUGCUUGCCAACGGCUCAGGAGGCUGAAAUCCAGCACUUGACUGAGCUGCUGCUGUUCCUGGAGCAAUACCUGCCAAUUGAUAGUUUGGAGGCAUCGAAUGGGGAAAUUUUUUCCUUCAAAUGGUUCAAGUACUGAGGCUCAAACCAGUAUUGGUCAUAUAUUCUAGAAUCUCCCUACUUCAACAACACAAAUGCAACUCAACCCUUUGGUUCCAACACGGUUGAUUCCAUGAUGUUAGGGUUGCAAUCUUACCUUAGUGUUGUUGGGGUACUUGUAGAAGAUGUAGCCCCCAUUGCUCCUGAGCCAAAUCACCCUUAUUCCGCAUUUAUGGCAGUCGACGAGGGGAAGUUGCACGAACUGGUUGCGACUUGGUACCAACGAUGGGAAGCUGCUCGACAUAACCUUCACUUGCUUGUUCUCGACGGAUGUCGAGGAGCUAGAGGACAGUGAGAAGUUCAACAACUUGCCUUGCCCCCCUUGGCCUCCUUUGCGGCAGCGGAAGCUGUGGCGGCGUGCGGCAGCGGUGGAAGCUAUGGCGGUGUGGCUGCGACGGCGAAGGUGAAAGCAUACCGGCGGCAUGCCCGCAUGGAAGGAGGUGUCGUGGGAGGAGAGCGCCACGGUGGCGGCCCGAGCGCGGAAGGAGGCGCUGCGAAUGGAAGGCGCCGUGGGAGGAGGGAAGGAGGCGCGACGCUGCGGCAUGGCGGUGGAGGCGUCGCGGGGAGGCGCUGCGGCGGCGGAGCACGCGGGGGAGGGGAGCGGCGCCGGAGCGGGGGCGGAAGGAGGGGCCGGGGAAAUUUUGACAGCCUAACGGCGUCCCGCGGGCUUCUCCAAAAAUUUGGCUUAGUAACCGUGGGCGCCACUAUAUAUAUAGGGUGGCAUUAGCAGCACCUGGAAAUCAUUUCUUCAUUUUUUUUCUAAAAUGUAUUUUGGAGCUAUUAAAUGAUCUUAAAUGCAAAAGUUAUCAACUGCAAAGUUUAAUGUCUCGUUGAGCUCCACAAUUUUGAUAUAAAGUUUUUAUUUAUCCAAGAAGAAAUGAAAAUUUCAAAAAAUACAUUCACUAAACACAUUCACAUGUACUCACACAUAUACUCAUACAUUCACAUAUACUUUGCGGUGAAUAUGUGUGUUUAGUGGAUGUAUUUUUUUAAUACAAAAUAUUUUUAAUUUCAUCUCGGAUGGAUACAAACUUUAUAUCAAAAUUAUAGAGAUCAAUGAGAUAUUAAACUUUGCAGUUGACAACUUUUGCAUUUAAGAUCAUUUAAUAGCUCCAAAAUACAUUUUAGAAGAAAAAUAAAAAUGGAGAAAAUAUUUCCAGCCAUCACCCGCACUUGGAAAUCGUUUCUAGGGGCGGGUGGUGACGUCACCCGCCCCUGCUAAAUGGUAGCCUAUAUAUGGUGGCGCUCGCGGGGACUUAGCCAAAUUUUUUCUUGAAAAAUGUAGACGUUUAACAUUUGAAAUUAGGGUUCAACAUUUCGUUCAACUUUUUUUCGAAAAAAUGUUGGUGAACAUUUUUUUAUCCAACAUUUUUCCAGUUGAAAUGUUGAAUAGACCAUCAUCAGUUGGAUCUUGGUGGCUUUGAAAUGGAUCAGUUGGAUCUGGUGGCUUUGAAAUGGAACGGAACUGCGAAGCUAAGCUUUAUAUCAUCAGCUGGACCUUGGUGACUUUGAAACGGAACGGAACUCCGAAGCUAAGCUUUAGCUCAAACGCUUAUCCAUCUUACAGCCGGUAGACUAGUAGUAACAGGGUUCUCUAAAAAAAAUAAAAGUAGUAACAGGGGGAAUGUGCUUGAUAGGUGAUAGCAGCAUAAGAUCAUCUAGAAGUUUUUUCUCCAACAGAAAAGAUAAAGAGGUGCUGCCAGAUCCUUCACCGCAGCAACCGGCGGAGGUAACAAAUGACGCAUCAGCUGAAUGACUCAUACAACAAAUAGCACAUCGACUGAAGACACAUACAACGAAUAUGAGGAUGAGAACAAGGAACCUUUGCCAGCCUCAGGAGCUCAGGAUCAGUGAAUCCCUGACCCCGAGCGCUGCUGCAACCUGAGCAAGUCCAAAUUGCAAAUUCAACAGAUCAAUUUGAUUAAAUGACCACCAAUCCACCAUAUAUCCUCCAGCAAGCUGGUCACUAGUACUGUAUCAGAAGAUGUUUACAACAACCGAACAUCCUGGGGUUUCCAGACAACACCCAUUUUCAAGUUGCAUCUCGCUAUCAGAAACUGGCCUAAUAUACUCUUUCCCCAACAUGCAUAGUGCUUUUUUUUAAUAAUUUCUUCAACGAAAGGAGGACUUAAGUACAGCAGGGGCGACAGAACAGCUAGUAAGGUAGAGUAGAACAGCCAUUGAUAGCCCCCCUGUUGAAUUUGAUGCUGAGGUUUUGUCUAAUUGAAGAAACAGCAUUGCCACCUAACUAGAGAUUUUUUUCCUCCAGCUAAAGUCAAAAGUCCAAAAUUCAUACUCUGACACCACCUCUAUUCUGAAUCGCUCUCCAGGCUUAGAGCCUUCAAGCCUCUAGCCCUCUGCAUGAUGUUUCACUCAUGUAAGUAACAAGCAUUCAACGGAACAGAGGUAGAAUACAUGCUUCUUGAAGCAAAACAAAUUUAAUUGUAUCCAGGUUACCUUUUUUGAACUCUUCUUCUCUCGAACUUCAUAUCUCUCAUGUGACAGAUCUGACAACCAAGCUCCUGGGCUCACCAUCUGUGAUUAUACCGCAAAAUGAAUCAGACAACAGUGUAAAAAAACAGAGAGCACUAUAACAGCAACAAAGAAAACAGAAGUUGAAAUCAAGUUUUUGAGCUUGAUCAUUACAAGCAAGCACUUCUGCAUCAGCUUGGGUCUUUUCUUUGGCCUCUGUGGGAGCUUGCAGCCCUUCAUUGCCAUGAAAUCCUCCUCCUUCUCCUUGUUAGACAAUGCAAUGAAGAACCUUGGCAACGCAGUGGUUCCCUUGUCCUCUGUUAAACCACCAAAAUCGAACCCAUUCCCCUCAAAAGGAAAUGGAGAACCCCUAGUGGAGUAAUACCGGUCCUUCUCUGGGGAGAGUGCCAUUGACUGCUUGUACUCGUUCGCUGGUGAAUCCGAUUUCCUGCUCACAUAGUAAGGUAUUUUGAGCACUGUACUAGGGCACCUGCUGGUAUUGCAGCGGGCAAUUCGAAUAAAGCCUGAAUACACUGAAUCUACCUGCGUUGAAGGGUGCUUGGGCGGCGUGGCGAACGAAAUGGUGCAAUGUCAGCUCCGAGAAGAGGCCGGGUUGCACGGGGCACAACACGUCUAAGAACUUCAGAUGGCGAGGGUGAUGGUGAGCCGUCAUCGCGCGUCUUGACACAGCGCAGCCGCUUCCGGCUUCCCCAUUGCAGGAAGAGGUUUGGCUCGCUGGGAGACCUCGAGGGCCUUGAGUCCUUCACCUCCUGAUCCAUCCGUACCCUGAAAGUGAACGCAGGUAGUUAGGUACCGAGUAGAAACUUAAGUCAAUGGAGCAACUUCGGAUCAAAGUUCCAGUGGAUUUUGGGAAGAGAGGAGGAUGGGCACUCAAAUCAAAGCAAAAUCUUGCCCCGAAAUUCAUCAAAAAAAAAAUCCUGCCCAACACACGAAGCAAGUGCCCCCUCUCCAUCCAAACACCUAGUGCCCUCUUAUCUUACCAUCACCAGCUAGAAUGAGAAAAGAAAUAGAACUCGAUCUUAUCUGAGCACAUCUGCUUUGCACAAGGACUCUAGAAGGGGGAACGGAGCAUGCACUAGAACUAGAAAGCGGAGAAAAAUACUUGUUUUAUUCCAAAACAAAUCUAAUCCUUCUCUUCAAAAGGUAUCCGCUAGCUGAUACAAGCAAAUCAGACGCCCCCAAGCAGGGGCAGACCCAAGGAUGGCAAUCUUUACACAAAAAAACGAAGUUUGCCGGUUGUAAUACAUUUGCAACUUCGAAUUGGGUCAGAUCCGAAUACCAAUAGCUUUGGGGCGCUCAGUUUCGCACAGCGGGAAGGGACGAGAUGGGGCGGACGUACCGGGUGGGUGCUCGUCGGCGGCGAAGAGCCCGGCGAAGACGGGGCAAAGGGCGGCGCCGCUCGCCCAGUCGGCGCCGCAAGGCCACGAGAGAGAGGACAGGAAGGGGCAGGCAGGCAGACUGAGAGAGAGAGCUGCACGGGAGGAAAACAAAAGAUUAGGGGUGAAGGCGCACGCGGCACGCCGCAGUCAGCGACGCGCUCGGGCCGUGUCGAAGUAGUUCUCGUUCGGCCCAAGAAGGUCCCGUUCGAAUAAAAAGAAGCCUGGCCAUAUUUGCCGUGUUGGUUGUUUGUAGCACUCGGCCCAACGUUGGAUUGGGGCCUGGUCCGUUCGAACAAAAGCCUGAUCUGACCUGUGUGCGUGGGGGGCAUCUUCCAGCGUGAUCAGAAAUCUAGGGAAUCCAACGAAGGAGAAAAAAAAAUCAACCUUCACAUAUCCUAUAAAAACCACCCGGAGAUCUAGAGAAUUUACAAAUCACAGGGCAACUCUACCAUAUAUCACCAAAAAAAAUCUGAAAUUUAACUUAUCACCUAGCACUGCUACCACAUCACCACGCACCUGUACAACAUCACUUAGAGAGACAUGUAAUUUAACAUAUCGCGCUACCAUAUCAACAAGCAAUGCAAAUAUAACACAUUCACGGCGCGCGACACCAAACAAUCAUGUUAGGCAAGGAUCAUAGCAAUGAAUUACUUGGGAGACAUCUCCCAAAAAAAACACUUGUGGCCUGUUCGCUUCAGCUUAUAAGCCGGCUGAAAAGCUGAAACGGCUGAUUUGUUGUGAGAGGAAAACACUGUUUGGUGGCUGAUAAGCCGGCUGAAUAAGCUGAAGUGAACAGGCCGUUAGUUUUUAAUGUUUCACAGGUGCAUUAAGACUAAAUCGCUAUUAUAGAUAGGCAAUGAUUAUAGAUUGUAGUAAUAUCAUGAACUGCAAAAGCAAAACAAGCCACAUGAGAUAUCUUUGCCAAUUUGAACAUUGUCAUUAAUAUGUCACUAACCUAAUAAGUGCACAUCCAGCAUGGUACCCUGAUUCCAAUUCAUCCUUCACAACAAAAAAGAAGAAGCUUAGAGCAAUGAUAGGCUGAUAUCUAUGUCACGUUAGCUAGAGAAUUUCAAAACUUGUAAAUCAACCUAGCUAGAGAAAUAUAGAAGUAAGAUUUCACGAAUUCAAAAAGUAACUGAACAAUUCAAUCAAAUCAAGUGGUGCAGUGGUAAAACUUAUAAUUAACAAUUUGGGCAGCCGCAAGACUUUACUUCGGGUCAAUGACUAUUGGGUGAAGAUGUCUCUCAAAUUUCUUUGGCCUGGCAGUGAUAGGCGUCCAAACCAAUAGACUCUCGAGAUAGGCAGCUCAACAUUUACAGAUGUAAUCCUCCAUAGGAUCCUCCUUCUCUUAGGCUUCUUAUCACUACCAUCCACCAUCAGGAUGGAAAACUUGGGCUCCAUCGCCGGCAACUGUUCUUUCUUAAGCUUCACAGCCUCCAGAGAUCUUUGGCUAGGAACUUCUUAUAAUUCCUCCACAUAUUGGUUGCAGGAUCAAAGUUCCACACAGAGAUGUUGACAUCGCCAAGUGGCUAGGAAUGAUCAAUGUACACAAACUUGAUAAAGCUGACAACAUAGGCCAUCAUCCUGGUCAUGGGAAAUGCGUCUGAUAGCUCAAACCUGGGUUUCGUCCACCUCUCGUCAGGCGACCUAUGAACCCAAAAUCCACUACUGCACCACCGUCAGCUAGGGCCAAUUGCAGUGCGCGAGUCGCUUGUGCUACCGCUGCAGCUGCCCAGCGCAACUGCUCAGCUGCAAACCCCAAACAGCUGCAACCUGAUCACUAAAGCUAAUGACUUGCACAACAAACAAAUACAGAACCAAUAGUUUGUAUAGUAAAAGAACAGUCUCACUGUUCUGGUUGUUGUAUAGCUGCAGCAAGCUGUUCCGAGCACUGCCGACAUCGGCGGCGAACAAAUCCUGAAACGACUGCUCUGGGAGGUUCCACCUUAGCACAUGCUAUCGACACUGUUCGUCCGUAGGUGCAGGCAGUGACCAACACAGACAACAUCCUCCGUGCGCCGCUCCAUUUGCUUUCAUGCCGCAAAGCACGUCAUAGUUGACUCGGAUGUACAAGGCUGAGAUGAAGUCCGGGGUGGAGUCAAUGAGGCAGGCCUAGAGGGUGAGCCCCUCCACCACCCUCUGGCCAUGCACUUUGCAGCUGGAGGACUUCUUGAUCGGGCAGUUGAUGUUCGUCCACUCCUGCUGUAGCCACACAGGUUGCACGGGAGGCCUUUUUCAUAUCACGAAGCGCUUCAACUCGAACGAGGACGACACAUAUUUUGUCAGCGCGAGCCAUAGAUGGGGGAAAUACCGGGCUGUGGCCGCAACCACGGUUUUCGCACACGCGGCGGUGGCUAUGGCUAGCGCACGAAGUUGUACGGUGUAAGAGGAUGAGGGACCCACAUGCUUCGUUGCAUGCGGGAUUCACGUGGAUCCAACAGGUGGAUGGUGGAUGUAGUGUCAAAAAACAUAUUGUGACACGCGAAUACAACUUUUUUCCCAUUUUUCCAUUUAUACUCAAGUAAAUAUCAUUUAUGCGUAUAGGUCAUGUGCAUUAGUUGUUUAACAACAUUUGCAAAAAUUAUGACAAACAUUAUACAUAUAAAUUGUAUAUAUCAUAAAGGUUGUGCUACAAAAUUUAUUGUAAGGAAAAAUACGCAUGUAAAUUGUUUGUAUAAGUUAUGACUUUUUAAAAAUGAAAAUUUGAAGUUGUCCUUUAGAAUUGCACUUGGAAGUGCUACGCAUAAGUUAUGCAUUCCAUUAAAGUUGUGCUGAAAAAUUAUCUCAUAAGAAUUUUUAAUACGAAGUUAUGUGUAUAAGUUAUGAUAUUUCAAAAAAUAAAAAGUUGUUGGAAUUUAUUUUCCGAAAACUAGAAAGUUCGAAGAAGUGUAGUGGGCUGUCGGGAAUCAAGCAGCCCUCCUGGUGAGCGCGCUCCAUUAGUGUUGGUGCUGUUAUAUAUCAGCGAACGUGAUAAAAAAAAACCCCAUAGCAUUGGUGCUGCUAUAUAUCACCGAAGGUGAUAAAAAACCCACUGUUGCCUUCAUUUUCACCCAGCAGCUUCCUCCGCCUCGGCACAAUGAGUGGCCCACUCGAGGUCAUUCUCCUCCUUCGGUCCUUCCUCCCGAUGAACACAAUACCACCGCCUUCUUCCCCCGCGCCGCCAUCCUCCUCCAUCUCCGGUGGUAGGAGAUACCGGAUCCGCUGCCCCAUCGCCCUCUCCUCCAGUUCACACUCCUCUCUUCUCAUUCGCCCCCCGCACCAACCUCCUGCACUGUCUCCGACGGCUCCUGCCGUCAGAUUCGUCGCCACCGGCCGCCAUCGCUCUAACCCGGCUCUGCCGGGGAGCUCACCGCUAUGGCCCUACCUCCUCCACCGCCCAUCGAUUGUCCUCCACCACCUGCGGCUGGCGGCACCCCGCCGCCUCGCCACCACCUCCGGCUACCUUCCACCCAAGACUUCCCCUCUACAACCGGAAGCUCACCGGCGACCCUAACACCAUAGCAACCUGAAACCGAACCCUAAGCUCCUAACCCUAGCCAUGGCCUCAGCGGCUACGGGAGGAAGACGACGGCAACAUUGCUCGGCCAUCGUGGGCCGUCGUCCGCGCCUUCAUGCGACAACUUGCAAAUUUGUCGCCUUCACCCAUUAGCAUUGCCCGUGAUCAGAACAGUUGGCCAGGAAACCAGGUAUAACCACGCGGCAGCAUAUAGCAUACAGAUACUCGAGGACCAUCCCAACCAAAACGCGUGGACGUUUCGUUAGUUCAAACAUUCCUCCGAUCGCUCUAGCCUUCAGCACUCCGCUGGCUUUGAAAAGUGAACCCAGAUCGCUGACUACGAAUUUUGACGAACCCUGGACGAGUCAUUUCUUGACGCAAAGGAAGAGGACACACGGUCAGGCAGAAAAUCCUCUAGAAGAAGUCGAGACUCGUACGGCGCGUGCCCCCGGCCGAUUCAAAAAGUUCAUCUCCGUAUGACGCAGCCGGUCCGGUCCAAACACCGAAAGCAACGAGGCCGUCAACGCUUUCCAUCACCGUCUGGGCUUCGUUCCGUCCGACCGACGCCACACCUCACGUACUCCCUCAAGUCAUCAUCUGCGUCCCAGUCUGUAUCACAUGCUCUGCUGCAGCUGAACAGCCCUGCAUACUUGGUGGAGGGGAAAGGUAGGCGACGGAACCAACGCAACCUCUGACCUCUCUUUUCGGCAAACCAUGGCGUCGUGGCUGUUGCUCCGGAGGAUCCAAUCUGCUGGCCGUCUAUCCGGCGGCCAUGGCCGGCUGCUCAGCUUCAGGGGCGGCGAGGGGCUCUGCCGUCCUCUUCCCCCGGCGGGCGAGCCAUCAGUCUGCAGCAGUGCCUACGGGCAAAUCAAGACAGACACCAGGAUCACGGUUUGUUCCUUUCCUCCCUUUCUCAAGUUCAAUUCCAGAAUCAUAGGACCUAGUUAAAUUUCGGUUUUUCAUACCUUCCAAGAAGAAAUGCGUUCAGAUAAUUUCAUCUGGACCAUUUCUGUGUCUUCUUCUUUGCGUGUAUGUAUCCAUCGUUUCUGCUGAAAAGUCUUCUGAUGCUUAUUUCAAAAAAAAAAAACGGUCUUCUGAUGCUUGCUGCUUGCGAUAUACGUGCAGAACCAUGAGCCACAUCUCGACAGGUUUUCAGAUCCCCAGGUUGCUCAUGAGGACCGUCAGUUCAUUCAGUUCUUGGACAGGAUGCUGGAUGCGAUGAGGAACCCUCAAAGUCUUGCGCUAAUACAGCGUGGGAGGCUGGCAAGUGGGCUGAAAGCAUUGGAUGAUGACAUAUGAGCCAAGUUCCCUCUGCAGACAUACAAGAGCCGAAUAAACGUGAAAAUUUGUGUUGUGUAAAAUGAUCCUGCUGUGUUUUCUGACUAACAUUGCACAAGUUUAGUGUGUUGAGACUGAUGCUGUUUAGGUUCAUUCCUAGUGGAUGAGAACAUCAACUUACUUGAAGCAAUUUCAUCUCUGAAGUGGGAACUGUUUUUCAAUAUCAAAUUGCCAAUAAUCUAUAAUAAAUUGUAGGCUUACCUUUGCUCAAAUGUUUUGGCCAACUCAACGGCCAGUAGAAGCGAAGAAUACAUCAUCUGCACUCAUACUUGUGCCUAAGCUUUCAUGUUGGCAACAUGCUAGCAACUAGCACUUCAAGCAUCCGACAACAAUUAUCACAGGCUCACAGGAAGACAUCUGAACAUGCCAAGCUUCUCUUUGAAAAUGUCGAUAUCAAAUAAUAACUUUCCACAUUUUUUUCCUUUGGUCUUUCGCAUCUUUUAAUGCUUGAGAUCAGGUAGAUAUCCCUAAUUCCUUACUGGCUGCAUUGCAUAUGAUGCUUCAGAUGACAACAAAGGGUUGGCAAAAGAAUUAUGCUAUACAAAAUAAAGUAUUAAGUUUAAUUUAAAACUCGUACCUGGAGAAACAAAAAAGAUAAAUUAUGUUAAGGGGUAAAUUGAACCAAAUUGCAUAGUUUAGGGGUAAACUGAACCAAGAAAUAGUUUAGGGGUUAUCCAGACUUUGUCUAUAGUUGAGGGAAAUAAUUUAAAUUUUUUUCCUAAGUUUAAUAAGAAAGAAAGACAUAUAAACUAGGAACUGCAGAACUUGCACAGGAAAGUGUCACCAUUGGCCACUCAUGAAUCGAAUGAGCUUGCACACUGGUAUCAAGGCACCAUAUCACAUAUCAGUGCAAAAGAAAUGUAGGGACAACACACGGACCUGUCAGCAUGCCAUGGAACAAUUUUAAUUUCCGUAUAAGUGUUUGAACAGAAGAAAGAAAAAAUAAAGAGAAAUGGAAAUUUUAUUUCCGAUGACUUCUAGGUAUAUCCUCGCCAUAAAUAGGGAUGAAAGCAGUCGGGAACAGUUGGUUUUGAUUUCGUAUUUUUAUUCAGGAACAGGAACGAAAUCGGGAAAUCUCGGUCGGGAAAACGAAAUCGGAUAUACAAGAUAUCGGAAAUGAAAUAAUUCAAUCGCAAACACAUCGAGCAAAAACUAGGUAUUUCACUCUGAUGAUCUUUUCAUCUAUGUUCUAACAGUUUGUACUGUUUAGGAGCAAGCAGAGAAAAUAGGAUUGGAGGAAUAAAAAUACAAGACGUGAGGUGCCUACAAGAUGGGUUGAUUUGGCUGACCAUGGUAAAGAAGCUGCACAGCAUAUUUGGCUGCUGACUAUGAAACCUGUCAUUUACGUUGCUAAUGUUAUGUCACAGAACAAGACAUUCAAAUGUUGCUGAACCUGAUAGCAAUCCUCGUGUCAAAGAGGUGGCUAAAGCAGCAUCUGCCGUCCUGUCUGAGACCCUACGCAUCCAACGCCGCCUUUUGCUCGAUGCAGCCACAGCCCAAGACUGCAAGUCCAACCGCAAGAACCCGCCGCCGAGUCGUCCUUUUCGUUCACCGACGGCGACAGCGCGACUGUGAUGGGCAAUUGCAAUUUGCACCCCACGGCGCGCCAGCGAGUCAGCGCCGGCCGCGUCAGGAGCGGAUUGACGCCGGCGACCCCUCCACGAAGCCGCGAACGAACCAUGCUCUCCCCAUUCGUGGACCGGUCUCCCUGCGCACUCGCCGAACGGCCCAUGGGCCAUGGCCUUGACAGACUAGGCGACAGGGAGGAGGGACUUGCGGUUGGGAGAACAUAUCCUGUGUUACCACCCAUUAGGGUGUUACCGUGUUACCAAGUCCAAAAUACAUGUCUACAGUGAUCGAAACAUUCCAAUAAAAAUAUGAAUAGAUAGCUCAUGUCAUAUUAUACCAUCAUGAAAAAUUUGAGAUGCAAAAGAAACUUAUACAAGAUGCAACAAAAAAGUGAAAUCGGCACAUGAAUAGUGCUACUUGCAACUAUUCAUCACAGACCCGCAACCCGCUACUGUUUAUGUGCCGAUUUCAUUUUUUGUUGCAUCUUGUACAAAUUUCCGUUUCAUCUCAAAUUUUGCAUGAUGGUAGAGCUAUCUAUUCAUAUUUUUGUUGGAAUUUUUCGAGUAUUGUAGACAUGUAUUUGGGAUUUGGUAACACGGUAACACCCUAAUGGGUGGUAACACAGGAUAUGUUCUCUCGCGGUUGGCACUUGGCAAUACCACUACUGUCCAAGGAUCACACACAGAUCACCACUCGAAUCAGGUCUCAUCUGCACAUCAUGGUCUGCUAGUGCCAUCCGGCCCGCUGACUGCUGGUUACUCCAACGUAAACUGAUUACUGCGGACAAAAUCAAACAAACCGAAACUCCCUCUGCACGUCAUGGUAAAAUGCUUCUACUUUGCUACAGCCUACAGCAUGGAGUCUACUAGCAAAAGGGUUCAAUCUGCCAGCAAUCUGACACACAGGCGUUGCCUUUCCAUGCUCUCUGUUUGCAUUCGCAGGACCAGGAGCCCACAUCUCCGCAGGUUUUCCGAGGGAGACAAACUCUACCACAAUAUACGAAACCAUACAAAAUGGAAAAUAGCAGAUAUACAAAAUGAAACCAUCAACUCAAAUGAAAGGGCAGAUAUAUAGACAUCAUCAGCGAAGCAUAAGAGGACUCAUCAACUUGCAAACUGAGCAUUCCCAAGUACCAUAGUUGCCACCAGCAUUCAUUAAUUUUAUCCAUAUUAAGUCGACUUGAAACUUGUUCAGCUGUGUAGACGACAUAACAUAAUAGCUAACAUUAGACUUGUUCAGAAUAUUACAUAGUAGACCAUCAUCCCCCAGAAGAUCCAGAGGUGUACUGGAUAUGGCUGCUAUCAUUCAGGGAGCGACCAAGAGUCAGUCGGUGUUGAGGGACAGCUUCAAUCUUCAGGUUGAGAUAACUACCAAUCGCCUCUCAAAGGGAAAGAGACAGAUCCACAGUCAUCUACAAUCAAAACAAUUGAUGAUUUGAGAAUUUCUGAGAUGGAACACACCAGACAUACAGAUUUAAACUAAUAGGCACCACGUAACAGUUUCAUACCACAAUAAGUUGGACGCGAUUAAACUAUAGUUUUAUAACACCCAAAUGACAGAGAAAUGGGCACUUGAAAAAACCAAUUAAGAUCGACCGGGUCUGUCCCAAUUUUUGCAUCAGUCCAAAUUAUAGAUGUGGUUCAACACUUUUUAACCCACAGAAAAUACAUAUCAUAUCUACAACCGUACCUAACAAAAAUUUUCCCCAUCACCCACCAUGGAUGGAACGUCUACCGGAACUACUUCUCUCAGGGUGGUUCUUCUUCGGCGGUUCCUGCCUUCCCUGCUUCCACCGCCACCCCCGACGACGACGACUUGGAUCUUCUCUCCCAGACACCAUCGCAUGUACUGGCGGCCCCCAACCUCUCAGCUGGGAGGGUGCACAUGGAGAACCUGGAUCUCAACUCCCAGGGUGAGGGUUUCCCCUUCCUCGACGAGUACUCAGGUUGCCUGCAGUGGGAAGGAGGUCGCGGCGACCAAGGGCUACCUCGUCUUGGACCGAGCGGAGAUGGCGGCAGAUCCGGCACAUUCUAGCCUCCUCAAUAGCUUAAACCUGAAGUAAGGGAGGAUGUUCACAAAUAGGAAUUUGAACGUGCGAACGGAAUUGCAAAAGACACCGAUAGGUAAGACCAACUCUGACACAUCGGUGUUUUAUUAUGUCCAUAUCCUUUAUUUCUUAAAAUAUAUGUUUGUAUAUUUAUAUAGUUGACAAUUCAUCCUAUCACAUAUUUACCACAAUUUUCAAAUGGAUGGCUUAUUUUAUAGUACAUAGCCAGGUGGGAUAGUUCUCUAAACGUGCACAUCUAUACGGUGAGUAAAUAUACUUUGUUGUACGUUCCUUUGUGAUUUUACAAUAUACGAUAAAUCCCAUCACACAAGAGCUUUACUUGAAGUAAAAACUCACCUUAUGUAUAGGAUGCUAUUACGAUGCGGCGUAACUUCUUCAUCGAUCUUUUGGCGCACGAAGUGAAUGCCUAGAAGACAAGACUACCUGGCAUUGUAAAACAUUAUCUUUGGCGCAUCACAGGCAAAAAAUUAGGAUAGAUGGGGGUGGUCCUUGGAUGACCUGUCGUACCAUGCUUUGUUCAAUGCCAUAGCUACGAUUAUCUAUAUUCGUACUUGUUUCCACGUGAUUAUUUUCCUGCUGAAUCCAAUGUUGAAAGUUGUUCAAGUUGCUGUUGGAGCUUGCUAGAAACGAAUACAAUGUAAAGGUGAUUAACUAUCAUAUAUCGUUUAGGAAUUGGUCACAUGAUUGUUCUUUUGCAAGUUAAGAUAAAAAAACAUCCAAGCAUACUGUCCUUAUGUUAUUACUCAUUGCAAAGUCAUUUUUUGUUUCACAUUGGAGGCAUUUCAAAGUUAUUACUCAUUCCAAGGUUGUAUGACUUAAUUAAAAUAUAGUGUUGGAAUUAGCUGAAACCUUGCAGAAACAUAAUGCAUUUGUCCAGGAAAAAAAUGCAGUUUGUAGAAGCAAAUAUUUUACACGAUAAUGUUUGAUGCUUAUAGACGAAAUUUGUUUUGCCCGCAGCAACAUACGGGCACAAUCCUAGUUAAGAUAAAAAGGAAAAACAAAGCUUAAGUUAACGAGUUGUGCCUACAUAAACUCAGAAGGUACCCUUAGUUCAUUAUCUCGCAGCCUAGUAUAGACAACAAUGUGAAGUACGAGAAUUUAUAGUAAAAUUACUGAUAUAAGUUUGAGAAUCAUACAAUUUAAGUGUACAAAAGUAUUAUUGUAUCAAGAACGUAUAUUCAGAAUCACUUGAUGUAUGCAUAGUUCCAUCUUCUUCAUCCUACUCUUAACUAUUUAGGUGCCCAGGUGUUGCAACGGCUUCUAAUUUCCUACACCCCCACAUAAUUCAUUCUUCAUAUGAUGAGAAUGUGAAUUAAAAUAUGACAUUUAUUGGUACUAGGGUUACUCUUGAUAAUACAACCAAUUUUGCAAUGACAUGAGGACCUAUGGUUAAACAAUACGCUGUAAUAGUUUUGGGAAAACAAUGGUCGAUUACCGUGGUUUGCACUUUACUAAAUCAACAACAGGUUACGUAUAGACUAAGUAGCACCUUUGUAUAUACAAAUUUGACCAGUGGCUGAAUAGUACCUGCUUCAGACAGAUAAGGGAAAAAACAACAAUACAGGUUUCAAAAUAAAAAUGGUUUCAUGUCAAACAAGAGAGAGGAAUUAAAUGGGUUAAAACGACAGAUUUAAUCAGAGAAAACAAGUCGCAAGAUUGUCCUUAACAACAAUUUUUCACACGUACAAUCCCAUCUACGCGAGCGGAGGAGACGAGCCCGCUGGGCUCUGCAGCGACGUGCGUACUGGUGCUGGUCCUCCCUCGUCGUCGCGCUGCCGUGUUCCGGUGCAGCCCCCGCCCUGCUUGCUUCUUUUCUCCUCGGUCGCCGGCGAAAAGAGGUUUGCCUCCGGUCGCCCUUGGCAGAACGCGCACUGCAUACUGCGUGGCAGGCGCCAGGCGGCCAGCCCCGACCAGCUGAUCUCUGCCUGCCUGGCCUUUGCGCAGCGCCCAUUCCCCCCUGCCCGGCUGCCCGCCCCUGGGCGGCCAAAUCUGGCCAUGUGGCCUUGCAGCGUGCGCUGUUUCGCCAGGCUAGAGACGGAGGGAGAUCAUGCUCCGAACGUUCAUGGACACGUCUAUCUACCUAGGAUUGCUGCUACAGGUUUGGUUUGAAUUGGUAUACGUGAGCGAGUCUAGCUUAGGAAUAACAGCGUACAUUUUUUUUUUAAAAAAAGAAGAAAAUAGCAACGUGCAUAUACGGUGGAUAAUGCAUAGCCAGCAUAGGGUACCUUAUCUGCGAUCGAGCCGUUUGAAGUUUUAACUGCGUAUUAUACGGAAAUAUCAGCCACGUACGUGUAAUCAGCCGUUGUCGUGUCCUGGCUACGUACGCUGCUUCGGAAGAAGGCGUCCGCUGCGGUGAUCGCGUGAGCGGCAAGGCCACGUGGCCGGGCGGGCGGUUGGCAGGGAUCAGCUGGACAGGGCUGGCCGGUGACGACGCUGCAUGCAGCAGAGGGCGCGGCAGGAUAGCGCGUCGCGCCAAGGGCGCCCAGACGCGAAUCCUGUUUUUCCGGCGACCGAGGCGAAAAGCAACCGCCCCCUCCCCUCCCUCGCCCGGCGUCCGCUUGCCAUUCCCGUCUCGUCUCUCGUGAAUGCGCGCGGCGCGGCGCGGUUGGUGGCAAAAAGCAAGCAAGGUGGCCAGGCGGGGGGGUGCGGGGUGCGAGCCGUGCUGCGUCGGUGAUCCUGCGCCGGGACGGGCCGAGCGGCACACGGCACCGCGCGCAGGCGGCGAGACGGUGGUGGCAGGAGCCCGGCCGGCCUGCUGCCCCGCUGCAGGCGACGACGCGGACCACCACGUCGCAGGUAGCGCGCGCUCUCGUCUCGUUCGCUCGCACGGUCGCCCUCGCCCUCGCGCGUGCAUGUAGCCACACGUGGCACGCGGCGACACGUACCAGAUCGAGGCGCCGUAGCCAAGAUGGGAUGGGAAGGCUUCUUCUCGAGUCUUGGAUGCGGUGUCCUCUUCCUGGCUUUUGUCCUCUUCUCCCAAGUCACGGCCAAGAGGGGAGCGAGGGUUCUACUAUAUUUAUCUCCUUUUCCCCCUUUUGUUUUCAUGAAGGAAAUUACUGCAAACUUAGGCUGUCUGAAGCCCUGAACUCCUAUUUUUUUUCUUUGUAAACCAUAGCUUAUCAUUUUGGUGCAUGUUUUGCGAUGGGUGGUCUCAAAAAUUCGAAAAAUAAAUUUGAACACCAAACGAUCGAUGUCCUUGCCACGUACACGUAGUUUGAUGAGGCUUUUCCUCCUUUUUGAAGGUGCCAGUUCCAUUGGAUCUGAAAAGCACACCUUUUACAUUGGUAAAAGAUAAAAAUUUACAAAACAGUUGCUUGUGGUAUGCUUUUGGUUAAACACAUGCGGGUUAAUUCAGACGUUGGAGUUAUGUGUUGAAGCGGUUUUGCAGGAGAGGGUCUUUUAUGCUGUGCUUGUUAGGAAGGAGUAGCACUGGUUUUGAGCUUCGUUUGUAAAAUGGUAACCCUAGUCAUGGUGUAAUACUCUUACAUUAUGGUUUCUAUGAAGCUAUAGACUGCAAAGUCUGUUACCCAAAAAGAUAAAAAUUAAAAUUACACGACUUGUUCACUCGAUAUACCAUAAAGGUGCAUGUGCAUGCACUCAACAUUAAAGAAAAAGAUCAAAACCCAUCAGAUAAACAUCUCCUGUUACUUCCUACACGGAGACAAAAAGGAAAAAAAAAAUCUGGAACGGCACAUCAUCGAUCUCUGCCUCUCUUGCAUGUUUUGGGGUUGUUCAGCUUUGCUGCCAUUUUUUUUUUGAAAAAAAAGCUUUGCUGCCAACUGGUCCACGCAGGCCAAAAGGUCCAGCACUGGCGUGGAAGAGCCGGCGAGCAUGAACGGGACCGUAGCCGCUCUUUCUUUUUUGAAAAUGCACCACGAAUCCUUGAACUAGAAAUGUCAUCCAAGUCCCUGAACUUUGAAAAUGCACAUUGAAUUUCCUAACUUGCUAAUUGGUUCACAUGAGGUCCAAAUCUUCGUAACCCGCGUUAAUCCACCUACGUGGCAUGCUGCAUGUCAGUUUUCUCUUCCUCACCUCUUCCCCCACCUCUCUGUCUUUCUCUCUCUGCAACGCUUGUUUGGCUGCCCGCGCCGCCCCCUCUUCUCCCCGAGCCGACCCCUGCCGCCUGCCGUAGCACCCCUGCACCUCGCGCCGCUCGCCGCUGGCACGGGUGCCCCGCGGCAAGGUCAAUCGGUCGCUCCCGACGGCGUGUAGGAGAACGAGGCCACAUGCGAUGCACGCGGCAGCGCGGAGGGCCCUGGGCGUCGUCCCAGUGGCCCGGGCGUGGACCACUGGUUGCCGGCCCAUGGAGGCGCUCAGCCUCGGAGGCGAGUAGCUCAACAACAUGCUGGGGAGGGACACUGGCGGCAGCGGGUGGCCCGCGGCGAAGCGGCGCGAUAGCAUGGCUGGGUUGGGCGGUGGCCGAUGGCCCGCGGCGGAGCGGUGCGAUAGCAUGGCUGGGUUGGGCGGUGACCGGUGGCCCGCGGCGUGACGGCAUGGCUGGGGGAGGGCGCUGGACGGCGGCGGCCCGCGGCGGAGCGCGCGCGAUGGCAUAGCUAGGGAGCGACGUGAUUUCAACGAGCAGGACCAUGAAUCGGAGUCGGCGCGAACGAGCUUGAUGCGACGGCAGCAAAUCGAAGUGGUCAGCGGUGGGAGAAAGACUUGGGUGAGCAUCGUGCGGCUGCCAUCCUUGCGAGCUCCACUAUUGGUGCCGGUGAGAAGGCAGAUUGCACGAGCUCGAGCGUCGCCAUCAAGGUUCUGAGGUGGAGCGCCGCCGCCGACGCCGAGGGCCUCGUGGUACCUCCGCGUCCCUCGUCGAUGCUGGGACCGGAGCAGCCUCACCCGCUGCAACCUUCCACCCCUCUGCUUUCUUACCUCCGCGCGCUAGCCCCCUCCCAUUAUCCUCCCCUUUUCUCCUCCACCUCCUCGGAAGGGCCCAUAGGGCAGCGGUGGCCGGCGGAACGGAGGCCGACGGCUGCGUACCGGAGAGGUAGAGCAGCGUGGCCAGCAGACGGCGGCAACUGGAGCCCGAGGUCGAGCGUUGUUGUCCACCGCUGCCGAGGGGCUCGAGUGCCUCCUGCCAGAGAUGCAGAUCUCGACGACGGAUAAGGAGAGAGGGGUGGGCCUGGCAUGUGGCCCAGAUGUCAAGUCCACGUCAAUGACACAGUGCCACGUGGGCAAUUUAACACAUGUUAUGUUGAUUUGGACCUGACGUGAACCAAUUAGCAAGUUCAGAAAUCUUAAUAUGCAUUGGCAAGAGAUCGUGCCAAUGUGCAUCAGAUGUAUAGUUUGGACGUGCCGGUGCCUUCCAUUGCUCUGCUCGGUUAGGGUGUUCUAGAAGUUGCUCAAACAUACACCUACACCUACAAAUUUGUUUUAAAACUCCAAAACAUCUAAAAUAUGAUUUUUGUGAUGAAUUUUGGCCCUUUUAAGAAACUGGCCUAUUUUCAUUUUAUUAUGCACCCAUUUCAACACCCAUGACUGAAGUACCCAAAUCAAUCCAAGAGAGUAAGAGAAGACCGAAGCAAGGGGAACGCAGGAGUGUGGGAGCUAUGCUGCACAGUGGCACAAGAAAAAGCCCCUCCGAGCAGCCGCAAUGUAUAACCGUGAGGGUGGUGCUAGGAAUCUGACACGUAAUGAAGUUGCCAAACUUCUCAUUCCUCUCUAGUGUAUAGUCACACAAUAUUAUAUAAAAAUUAGGUCCUGCAGAGAAUAAAAAAUUCAUCAAAUAACUUUCAUCUCUCCCCUUUCACUCACUUAGGAUAUCCGGAGUGUAGGAAUAGGGAUCCUAAGAAGCUUAGGACCGACCCUACACAUACCACAGCCGGUCCUAGGAGGGGAUCUUAAGGUCAAAAGGCAAAUACCCGGACUCAAGCCAAAGGCUCGGUCUCAAGGAAGAAAAAACUCAACGAAGGACGGUGUGGGGGCCACAGGGUGCGCAGGAGGGCGUGGCACAACUCCUGCAUGUGGACGGUUGCGCGGGUGGACGCAAUUUUUUUAUCCUGAAGCGGGACCCACUCCUAAAGACCGGUUCGGUCAUAUACAUAGCAGGCCCGAUCUCAUCCCACCGUGGGGCCUAACAUUAGGACCGGUUGGAUCCUGUACACAUCGAAUGUCCUUACCCCACCACCUCACUCAGAGCACCCUCCUUCCUAACGUGAAGCGUCGUGAGAAUCUUUUUUUUUCUCUCUCCUCGGAGCACCCCCAGAUCCCAACGCUGGAGCUGCUCUCGUGAACGUGCGCUCCAACUAAAACAUCCAUGAGCAGGAUAGGAUCGGAAGCGCAAGGUGUCCAUGUACUGCUGAAACGUUCCCCACAUAGCCAAGUACAAAACAGGGAACACAAGAAAAGAAGAAAACUGGAUCUUGAAAACAGUACAAAAGCAACAACCAAACGGGAGGAGGCCAACACACACAACAUGCUUGGACCUGGUGCGCGAAGAACGGACCGUGGGUGGCAGGUUUCGUUGAAGUUAACAUACCAGUCCCUCUUAUAGAAUAUAGAUUCAAAAUGCGCCAAACCAAUCCUUAAGUUUUAGUUACACUAGUUCUUUUGUCCUUAAUUCUUAGACCAUGCAGCACCUCUUUAGAGUUGUUUUUGAAGCCAGACCAAAUGGCCGACCGGGGCAGUGCAGGGUCAGGGUGGCAGAGGUCAGGGGCUUGCUGAUUCGUCUCUCUUGCUGGUAGCAGUAGAGGGCGAAGGCGGAGAAUAGGGGAGAGAAACCACCCCACUCGUGCAUCAUGAGUUCAUGACUCGUGGGCGUAGGCGGCCCACUUGUCACACGGCCAGAACUACUCCAUCACCGCCAAACAAGAGAUUUGUCUCGGGGAAUUUCUCAUACCAUGAGCUCUUCCUUAUCAUCGUGAUUCGUGAAGCUUUCCCUGUCCGGCUCGCUUCGCUGCUCAGACGACCGUGUAGGAUUUGUCACUCCACCGAAGAAGUCGGAACGGAGGUCUACCGAAAAGAGGCCGAAGUAUCAUCUCCUCCUGCAAAAACCCGUCUCACAGUUUUUUUAUAAAAAAACACCUCCUUUUUAUUAUUCGAUUCGAUGCCGGUAGAUCCCUUGCGACACUGCAUGGGCGCGCAGCCAGGAGCCAACACACUACACACCGCAUAACUCGCCGUCGCCGCCUGGUCGUUGCCGUGCUGUACGGGGCCCGCCGGAGACGGCGACGGGCCGGCUCGGCAUCGGCAGGCCGCGUGCCCACCCUUGCGCAGGCCAAGUACGUGACCCCACAGCGAUAUCCACCUGACAACUCCACGUACAUGUCGGGGCCCAGCUCGAUCCCCCGCGCCGGGGUUGGACGAGGUGACCGAGGACGAUCGCGCCGGGUGCGGUGCACGUCCUGACGACUUGCAGGCUGCAGCUGCUGUGGUCCGGGCCCGCGGAGAACACCGUGACUGCUCUGGUGGAAGCGGCACGCGAGGACGCACGUCCCGAUGAGCCGGGUCUGCCGCACUGCUGGGUGGCUGGCUCUGGCUGGCGCCGCUGGGCUGGGCGCAGUUCGGUCCACGGAGUACUUGGCCAGCAAAAUAGAGUAGGCGUUUUGUUAGUUCGAAACAUUCCUCUAAUCGCUCUAUCCUUCAGCUCUCCUCUGGCUGAGCCAAAACAAAGAUUCGUAACUUCGAAUUUGACAAACCGUGGACGAAUUCUUCUUCAUGCAAAGGAAAGGUGCACGGUCAGGGAGAAGUCUUCUAUACAAGUCACUCACAUGUACUACUCUAUUGUAGGCGCGUGCCGCAGCCGAUUCAAAUUCAACUCUUUAUCUUUCUAAAAAAAGGGGAAAAAAUUCAACUACGUAUGGCGCAGCUGCCCACAGUCCAAACUCCAGACCUCCAAAUACCGAAAAAGCGACGAGGUGGUCAACGCUUUUCCAUGACCAACGCCACACCUAGCGUAAACCCUCAAGUCAGCCAUCUCCGUCUCCGUCUGUAUAACAUGCUCUGCUGCAGCUGAACAGCCCUGCAUACUUGGGCGGAGGGGAAAGGUAGGCGACGGAACCAACGCAAUCUCUGACCUCUCUUUUCGGCAAACCAUGGCGUCGCGGCUGUUGCUCCAGAGGAUCCAGUCGGCUGGCAGUCUGUCCGGCGGCCAUGGCCGGCGGCAGCUGCUCAGCUUCAGCUGCGGCGAGGGGCUCUGCAGUCCUCUUCCACCGGCCGGUGAUCGAUCGGUCUGCAGCAGUGCCUACGGGCAAAUCAAGAUGGACACCAGGAUCACGGUUUGUUCCUUUUUCUCCCUUUCUCAAGUUCAAUUCCAGAAUCAUAGCACCUAGUUAAAUUUCGGUUUUGCAUACCUUCCAACAAGAAAUGCGUUCAGAUAAUUUCAUCUGGACCCAUUUCUGUGUUGAUACCUUUUCUGUCCCCUUCUUUGCGUGUAUGUAUCCAUCGUUUCUGCUGAAAAGUCUUCUGAGCUUGCUGCUUGCGAUAUACGUGCAGGACCACGAGCCACAUCUCGACAGGUUUUCAGAUCCCCAGGUUGCUCAGGAGGACCGUCAGUUCAUUCAGUUCUUGGACAGGAUGCUGGAUGCAAUAAAGAAUCCUCAAAGUCUUGCACGAAUUCAACGUGGGAAGCUUGCAAAUGGGCUGGAAGCUUUGGAUGAUGACAUAUGAAAGUUCCAUCUGCAGAAAUACAAGAGCUGAAUAAAUGUGAAAAGUUGUGUUGUAUAAAGUGACCCUGCUGUGUCUUGAGACUAACAAUGCACAACCUUAGUGUGUGAGACUGAUAUUGUUGGCAUAUACCUACUUGAAGUAAUUCCAUUUCUUUGAAGUGCUUUUGAAUAUCAAAUUGCAAAUAAUUUAAUACUGAACUACGGUUCGCUAAUAAAUUGCAGGCUUACCUUUCCUCAAAUGAUUUGGCCAAUUCAAUAGCCAGUAGAAGCUGAAUAGUACAGUAUCUGCCUUCAUACUUGUGCCCAAACUUUCAUAAUGCUUGCAAGUAGCAACUGAAGCAAAUGAUGGUGAUUAUCACAGCCUCUCAGGAAGACAUCUGAACAUGCGAAGCUUCUCCUUGAAAAUCUCAAUAUCAAACAAAAAACUUUCCUCAAAUUUUCCUUUGGUUUUCUGCAUCUUUUAAGGCUUGAGAAUGGCAUAUAUCCCUACAGGUUGCAGGACGUAUGUUGCUUCGGAUAACGAGAAAGGAUUGGCAAAAAAAUUGCACAAUAGAGAAUAAAGUACUGUAUAUUCACUGGAGAAGCAUACAAGCUAAACUGCAGAACUUGGCACAGAAAACUGUCACCGUUACUCAUGAAUCCAAUGAGCUUGUAAACUGGUAUCAAGGCACCAUAUCAGGGCAAAGGGAAUGUAGGGACAACGUGGACCUGUCAGCAUGCCAUGGAAUCAUUUUUAUUUCUGUAGAAGCAUUUGAACAGAAGAAAGAAAAAAGGAAUGCAAAUUUUAUUGCUGACAACUUCCAGUUAUAUCCUUGCCACAAAUGAGAAUGGCAAAGUUCAGACAAUUAUCACAUGUUAAUAUUGAGAAGUUUUAUUGCUGAUGACUUCCAGUUCUAUCAUGGAAAGUUAUUGGCAAAGUUCAGACAAUUAACUAGCAUGCAAAUUUUAAUGCAAAGUUUUGUUUAAAGUUAUUAGCAACCAAAAAGGAGGCCUGGAACACCUUUAUCAAGUCUGAGACUGAGCGUAUCCAUUAUCUAGCAUGCAAAGUUACAAAAAGGUUAACUUAUACUCACCACUUCUGAAAAUGUAAACUGCAGGCAGCUCUCUGUAUCACAAAGUGUCCUUCCUUGAUUUUCCAUAGAAGAGCAUAUCAGUGCCACAGGGACAAAUCAAAUUGUCAAAACCUACGAUGCUCAAAUUUUUUUUUGUCAAAACCUAAAAAAAAUAAUGACAUAAGAACAAAACAAGUUGCAUAGAGAAAACUGAGGUUAUAAAUGGACAUAUCUUGCCAGUAUGAUAGAACCUGCAAUUCCAGAUAACACAACAGCACAACAAAGUAGAUUAAUGCCUUUAAAAUGGCAUAGCUCUAGUUCAAUGACAGAAAAUGGUACUAAAAAAUAGCAUCGAGGGACUAUAUCUACCAGAAUGACAUCCCUAUAGCUAGUUUUAUACCACUCGACGGGAAAAACGUAAGAAGCUGCAGUUUUAUCAAUUUUCUAUAAUAAUUACUAAAUGUGAAACAUAAGAUGUUGCCAUUUUGUUCACAUGCUAGAAUAAUUACAUAACUUUGAUGGCUCAAUGGUAUCCAUUAUUCCAGUGUCUGAUUAAAUUGAAGUUUGUGCGUGGAUAUGCAGAAAGGCAGGAAUAGGAUUUCACAGCUGGCAAAACAGUAGCACUGCAGUCAAGACAAGUAUUUUCAUUACGUUAAACAAAGAAUGAAGGUGCAUAACAAAUCCAAAAAAAAAAUUCUGGAACUAUCAAAGCUGACCUGUGUGCUGUUAUUUGGGUGCAUGGGGUGACAUAGCUCUGGUCUCGGAACAUAGCCUUCCUCUCUUAGUUCUUGAAGAAGGCUCUUCAAGGACAUGUAGAUAUCUUCAGAAUCAGGGUGGCUUUUAUCUGCUGCAACAAAUAAAUGGCUGCUGUUAUUAACAUCUACCCAGCUGUAUCCAGGUAUCUUCUGGACUUUAUUAUCCUUCAUCAGUCUUCUAACUUUUGAUACACCAUCCCAUCGUCCAGCAACUGCAUUGAUAUUGGACAUGAGGACAUAGUAACCAGAAUUACCAGGAUCCAACUUGAAUAGUUCUUGGGAAGCUAUGUCGGCAAGCUCAACAUUGCGAUGCACGCGGCAAGCAUGGAGAAGGGCACCCCAAAUGCCAGCAUCUGGCUUAAAAGGCAUAUCAGCAAUAAAUUCUAUAGCUUGAUCUAACUUCCCAGAACGACUGUAUAGGUCAACCAUGCAAGCAAAAUGCUCCAUUCGUGGUGCAAUUUGAUAUUCCUUAGUCAUGCAUUGAAAAAGUCGAACUCCUUCUUCAACCUGCCCAGCGUGAGCACAGGCAGAUAUCAAAGUGAGGAAUGUUACAUGAUCCGGCUUGAACCCUUCCUCUUGCAUACGAUACAAUAAACUCACUGACUCUUUAAGAAGACCAUGAGCUCCAUAGGCAGCAAUUAUACUGUUCCAUGACACUUCAUUCUUAUCAGGCAUGGAUUCAAAAACACGAAGAGCCAGAUCCAAGUUCCCACAUUUGCCAUACAUGUCUAUCAGAGCACUCUCAGCGAAUAUGUCUGCCCUUAUAGGACCCUUUAUGAUAACACCAUGAAUCUCUUUUCCAUAAUAUAUAGCUGGUAAACUCGCGCAUGCUGAUAGGGCAGAAGAUAUAGUUACACUAUUGUACUUUAUUCCUUCCAUACUCAUUUGACGGAAAAGGUCAAGAGCUUCUUCUGGUUCUCCAUUCUGUGCACAGCUUGAAAUCAUUGAGUUCCAUGUCACCUCAUCCUUCACAGACAUCUUGGAAAAGAUAUAAUGGCUAAGGUCCAGUCUGCCACAUUUUGAAUACAUGUCCAUUAGUGCACUCUCAACAUAACAUUUUCCUUCAUAAGCAUUUCUUAGAACAUAACCAUGGAUCUCCUGACCAAGAGCCAUAGCAGCCAUGCUAGCACAUGCUGGUAAGACACUAGUUACAGUAACAGCAUUUGGUUUGAUGCACUGUUCUAACAAGUACCGGAACAUUUGCAGUGCCUCUUCAAUCAUCCCAUUAAGAACAUAACCUGAUAUCAUUGUACUGCCAAUAACCACAUCAAUAGCCCAAGCUGCAUCAUAUACAUUCUGUGCCAUCUUCACAUCCCUGCACUUGAAAUAGAUGUCUACCAAAGCACUCACCAAAAAGACAUCCAUGUGCACAUAGUUCCUGAUAAUAUAACCAUGUACCUCCUUCCCCUGCUUGAAACCAUUCAAGUCAGUCAAAGCCGGUAACAAACUGACCAGCGUAACUGAAUCUGGUCGAACACCACUCCUCUGCAUAUCACAGAACAAUCCCAAUGCCUCAUCAAGAAGCCCAUUUUGGACACAUCCUGAGAUCAUCCCGUUCCAGGUUACCAAGUCAUCCCGUGGAAUCAGGUCAAACAAUCUCCAGGCAUCAUCCAAGCACCGGCAUUUGGCAUACAUCGAUAGCAAUGUGUUAGCCACAGCCACCACCGGCUCUAAACCACAUUUCACUGCCAGAGAGUGAAGCUGCACCCCAGACAGCAAAUCAGCCUCUGCGGCACACAAAGACAGAAAGCAUGCCAGUGUCGCGAAAUUGGGCUCACAACCGGAUGCCCUCAUGUCCCGGAAUAAACGCACCGCCCCAUCCACAUCUCCAGCCUUUAUGCAUCCGUCCAUCAUCACGUUCCAAAGCACGCAGUCCCGCUCCGCCAUUCCGUCGAACACCUCGCGCGCGUCUCGGAGGAGGCCAGCGUCAGCGUACAUCUUGAUGAGCGCGCUCCCAACGUACACGUCGCGGCCGAGCCCGAUCCCCCGUGCCGUGCGGUGCACGAGGCGGCCGAGGACGACCGCGCCGAGCGCGGCGCAGGACUUGACGACGUAGGGGAGGGUGUGCUCGUCCGGGCGCGGCGCGGCGGGGUGACUCCACAUCUUGAGGUAGAACAGAACGGCAAGGCGGUGCUGGCCGUCCGCCGUGAACCCGCGGAUGAGCCAGUUCCAGGGCCGCGCGGACGCGGCGGCGCCGCGCGGGAGCGCGGAGAACACCGCGACGGCGUCGCGGAACCGGCGCGCAAGCACGUACAUGCCGAUGAGCCGGGUCUGGAGCGCCGGGUGGGAGGCGAGGGCGCCCGACGCGACGGCGCGCGCGUGGAUUUGGAGGCCUAAAGGGAGGUGGGACGCGGAGACGCAGCCGCGCAGGAGCGCCAGCAAGCGGUCCGCGGAGGGGGCGUUCGCGACGGCCGCCGCGGUGGAGAAGGUAGUGGAGGCGGAGCGGCAUGGCCGCGGCGGAGGCUUGAGGCGGCGGUGAGCGAGGCGCAUGGCGACGCCGACGGGGCGUCGAGGGCUCGAGGCCGUCGCCGUCGAGGAGGGGGAUGGCGAGGCGGCGAACUGACCCAGCGUGCUGCGGUUUGAUUCGAGCUCUCGUGGCUUCAGUUCCCGCACGUGCCCUUGGAACCCCCUCACGCGCCGCUCACGUGACAUCCAUUAUCCAUCUCGCAGCUCUCGUCUCUGGCAACCGUUCGCCCCGGUCGCCUUCCCGCGCCGCUCACGCACUCCUCCCGGCGCGCCCAUGACGACGGUGUCGCGCGCGCUCGGCUCCGCGUUCGCGGGCUUCACGCGGACCCCUGUCGCGGCGCCGGCCGCGACGACCCUGCACUCCCCGUGCGGCUCGUCGGCGCUGCUCCGACACUGGCAGUGGAGCCGGGCCAGCCGCGCCCGGCGGUUCUCGUCCGGCCGCGCGGCACGGAUUAGCAUGAGCCUCCGUGCAGGAAUUGUCGGGCUGCCCAACGUCGGCAAGUCCACCCUCUUCAACGCCAUUGUGAGUAACCAAGCCUGCUUGUUUCGCUGCUUCCUGAGGAGGAAUUCAUGUUGUAAAGAACAUUUAUUAGCCAGAGAUUGCUAGAGGGCAGAGAAUUGGAUAUCGGUUUUUCUUCUCUCGAUAUGUUCUUUCGGAUUCGUGCGCUGGCUUUGUAUAGGGUGGAAUGUACUAGCAUGCAUGUUGGGUGGACGUCGAUGAACGCCAACUGUUCGACGUUUUGCCACAUAGAUGUUGUUGUCGAAAGGUUGACACUGUAGGCAUGUUUAAUUUGUAAGAGUGAAUAUAUUUCACGAUUUCUCUGUUGUUUUGCUGCCGCAUAAGUUACAUUCCUGACUGCUUGCAUAAGAUGUUUCAGAUGGAGAAAUGUGUGACAUGGAUAGGAUAGGUCAUUCUCUGUAAUAAUGAAAUGCUAAUUCUGUUCUCAAUGUUGUUAGGUCGAAAAUGGGAAGGCGCAAGCCGCAAACUUUCCCUUUUGCACCAUCAGCCCAAAUGUUGGUGUGGUGGCUAUCCCUGAUCCUCGCUUGCAGGUGCUCUCAAAAUUAAGCAAGUCACAGCAGACGGUCCCAACAUCCAUAGAGCUUGUGGACAUUGCAGGUCUUGUCAAAGGAGCAAGCAAAGGAGAGGUACUAUUUUCGCCAUUCUCUUCAAUUUACCUGCAGGACAGCUCCAACUCCGCUGGCCAAAGUUUAUAUGGUUGCUGAAUGCUGGUUAGUUUAUACGUGAUGGUGUUAAUUUAUUGUUGACAUCAGGGACUAGGAAAUCAAUUUCUUUCAAACAUCCGUGAAGUAGAUUCCAUACUUCAGGUGAGUUCUUGUUGUACUUACAUUUGUUUGUCAAGUUCUAAUGUUUGUUAAUUAUUCUGUGCCACUCUGCUGGCGAUAUGUGAACUAAAAUUGCAGCCACUUCGUUAUCCAGCACUCCCGCUCACUUCUGAGGCAGAGGCUCACUAUUAUAUUUGUUUGUUUGUUGGAGAUUGCAAAACACUAGGAUAUUAAUUACCAAGGCUCUAGGAAUAACUAUUCAUUGUGACUGGAUCCUCAGGUUGUGCGAUGCUUUGAGGAUGAUGAUAUUGUUCAUGUCAAUGGCAAAGUUGAUCCCAGGUCAGACAUUGAUGUUAUUAACCUAGAGCUGAUAUUUUCAGAUCUUGAACAGGUAAUUUGGUGACACAAUCUCCAUUUCUAUUGCUAUCUAUGCCCCUGACCAACUGCUGACAGUUUUGUGAUAACUGCAGAUAGAGAAGAGGUUAGAUAAGCUCAAAAAGAGCAAAACUAAAGAUGCACAAGUAAAAGUGAAGGUAAUACAUACAUAUUAUUUUGUUGUUGAUGACCUUUUCAUCUAUGUACUAACAGUUUGCACUUUAGGAACAAGCAGAGAAAACAGGGCUGGAGAAAAUACAGGAGGCACUUAUGGAUGGAAAGCCUGCAAGAUCGGUUGAUUUGGCUGACCAUGAGAAAGAAGCUAUACAACAUCUUUGUCUGCUGACUAUGAAACCUGUCAUUUACGUUGCUAAUGUCACAGAAUCAGAUCUUGCUGAACCUGAUAGCAAUCCUCAUGUCAAAGAGGUGGCUAAAGCAGCAUCAGACCUGGAAUCUGGCAUCGUUACGAUAUCAGCUCAGGUUUGUUGUAUGCAUCUAAACUACAAGAAGCUUUUGAAGAAAUGCCUGUGAAAUUACUUUUUUUUUCCUCCCAAACGAUGUUGCCUAUCUGUAUAUACUCAAACUACGCUAAACAUAUCAUGGAAUGCAUAACAGGUUGAAGCUGAACUGGCUGAGCUACCUUUGGAAGAGAGAGUAGAAUAUCUAAAAUCUCUUGGUGUUGCUGAAAGCGGACUAGGCAAUUUGGUAAAAGCGACAUAUGACCUAUUGGGACUAAGAACUUAUUUCACAACCGGAGAUAAGGUGCAUCUUCUGUCCUGUUAAAGGUUCUUUUCCCCUGGCCGUCAACACAAAACUUUUAACUGUGUAUAUUUUUAUCAGGAAACGAAAGCUUGGACUAUUCUUUCAGGUUUCAUUCUUCUUCUUUAAAAUUCUUCAUUGUAACAAUUGCAAGGAUUGUAGGAAACUAGGAAUUAUUAUAACUGCAUGUAAUCUUACCUGUAGGCAUGACUGCGCCUCAAGCAGCUGGAGUUAUUCACAGUGACUUUCAGAAAGGAUUUAUUAGAGCUGAAACUGUAAGUGGUGUACAAAGUUUUAAAGAAUUUAAUGACCAAAUUUCAGUUUGCAUGUUAUGAUCUAUCACAGUUACAAUUGCUGAUACUUCAUCUAUUUGCUAACUUUACAAUGAUUACUUUCCGAACCUCAGGUAUCCUAUGAUGAUUUCGUUGCGGCGGGUUCACUCGGAGCAGCAAGGGAGAAAGGGCUGGUAAACAAAUUUGCGUUGCUACACCUUACAUUCUUGAGAUUUGAAGCGUGUAGUUGAAUAUACGUUUAUUUCUUGUUUAAUCUGUCAAAUGUGACUGCAGUUGAGGUUGGAAGGGAAGGAUUAUGUUGUGCAAGAAGGCGAUGUCAUGCUUUUCAGAUUCAACGUGUGACAGCAAUAGUAGCACAAAGCUUCAAAAUACCGGGACUAUGUACAAGGCAGAUUGCAGAAUACAAUUUUCCCAUACUAUGACAAAUUUUUUUGGCCUUAUGACACGACUAUUCAUGUACCGGCAUUGUUCCUUUUCUUAUGAGGGGGGAAAAUACCAUGAUUCACUGUUAAAGUAUCAUUCGCCACAUUUUGAGAAAUAUACCAUGCAAUGCAAGAGUUCUUCAGUGUAACUUCUCUAAGAAUCCCUAUUGUGUCCUUAAGGAUCACUCCAGACAUGAAACUUCUCGUUUUUCUUAAUAAAAGCAUGCGGAAUGUUGUAUGCUUGUGACAAAUCUCAUGUCAGUACUUUAUUCAAAUAAUGCUUGAAGUUCUGCGAGGAGUAUAUAUUGCAAGAUACUACUUCUAUUUCAAAUUGUAGGUCGUUUUGGUUUUUCUAGAUGCAUGAUUUUUUGCUAUGUAUCUAGAUAUAACGUUAAAGACAAAACGACCUGCAAUUUGAAACAUAUUUACUCUGUUGCAAUUUGAAACGGAGGGAGUAUUAAGUAGUGACAAUAUGGAUGGAUUCUAAAGAUGAGCUCUUAAUUGUCUUCGGUCGCUGGCUCGCUGCAAUGGCAUUUGGCCUCUAGAAACUUCUCUGUUUUUAGAAAACUUACUGGUUCAUUUAAGAAGAAAGAUGUUUAGGAGUACAAUAGGUACGAUAUCACAUAAAUAAAAGUUCUCUUAACUCUAACAUUAAUGAAUAAAAGUUCUCUUAACUCUAACAUUAAUGAAUAAAAGUUCUCUUAACUCUAACAUUAAUGAUAACAUGGAUACACUAACCCAAUUCAGGGUUCCCACAUGCUCUCUUGCGCCAACUGAUGUCCUCCUGAAUCAUGUCAAAGACUUGGUUAGGCCGCAUACUUCUUCCUUCGAAAACCCACCGGUUUCUCUCCUUCCAUAUAUUCCAAGCUGUGAAAAUGAGAUAAGCUACCACUGAAUCUCCCUUGCUUCUUGUUGAAUGGUGACAAGGAUCGCUUCCACAAGUCCUCAACAUCCACCAAGUCAUCUUCCGGUAUUUUGAUCAGACCUCCAGUCCAGUUGCUGAAACUACACUGCAAGCACAAGUGUAUUGCCGUCUCAGCCUCCUGAUCACAUAAUGCACAUCGGAUCUCACAUUGCCAAUUUCUAGCAAUCAUCUUGUCAGCGGUUAGGAUUUUGCUUUGAACUAGUAGCCACGUAAAAAACUUAUGCUUGCCCUCCGCAUGAGCCUGCCAAAUUACCUCCCCAUCAAAUGUGCCGUAAGUUCCAUUCAGCUGUCCCAUGUAUGCUGUUCUUAAAGUGUAAGAGCCAUCUGCAGUCCAUCUCCAUUUAAUCUGAUCCUCUGUUCAUUUAGAUGCACAUUCUAUAACAGAUCCCAUAAAGUGAAGAACUCCGCCAUUUGCUGUACUGUAUUCAUACGUCAAAGCCCUCUAGUUCAGUUGUGAUCAGUUAUGUCUUAUCUGACAAUUUUAUUCUUUAUCCAUGCAAGCUUGUACAAGCUUGGUGCUAUAUCUCUCGGUGCUCAACCAUCUAUCCAUGAACAUUGCUAGAACUUUAUUUGGUUUCCAUUGUCCAAAGUUACAUUUGUACUUGCCCUGAACAACUGUUUAUCAAUCUCAUCACAAGGGGUGUUUGUUCCAACCCACAGCAUGUUAGUGUCUGUCCAUUCAUACCAUAAUCAGCGCAAUCGAAGAGAUCUACUGAAUAUGUGCUGGUCAAAGAUGUCGAGUCCUCCUAGUUCCUUUGGCAAAGUUGCCUUUUGCCAUUUCACCAAACAGUGACCUCCACUGGCCUGCUCUAACCUUUCCACAUAAAGUUCAUCCUGAUCUUGUCAAUCUUUUUUAGGGCUCAUUUCUUUAGUGCAAAAACUGUGAUGAAGUAGAUUGGCAUCGAAGUUAACACUGAUCUGACCAGUGUGAGUCUUCCUGCUUUAUCCAACAAUUUUCCUUUCCAUGCAGGCAGCUUGGCUGCAACUCUAUCAAUUAAUGGCUGCACUUCCACUCUCUUCAAUUUUCUCAAACUAAGUGGCAAUCCCAGGUAUUGACAGGAAAGCUCUUUACUUGACAUGGAAAGCUCUGCAAUAUGUUAACUACAUCUAUGUUUUCACAUCAAAUCGAGUAAGCAGCACUUUUAUCCAAGUUUAUUUGUAGCCCUGACACUCAUCCAAAAGCAUCAAAAAUUUCUCUUAUGUUCUCAAUUUAUUCCUUCGCUAGAUUUACAAACACCGCAACAACAUCUACAUAUAGGCUUAUUCUGAUCUUAGCCGCUCUAUUUUGAAUAGGUGACAAUGUAGAUCAAAGCGAUCCCUUGCUCUCUCUCUAGAUCAAAGCGAUUCAGAGGAGGUGCCUGAAAGCGCCCACGGCCUCUAGCGCCACCACUACCUCUCGACGGUGAUCUAUCCCUACGUCCUCCAAGACGUUCUUGCACGGGGACACGUCUUCUAACUGAACCAUCAGGGACACCAUAAUGCCACACAAAUCUGUGUUUAACUGGCCAUUCCACCUCCAACUUAUCAUCAGGUUACCCGCUAAUGUUACUCUCACAGCUCUUGUAAGAUGGACUACUAGGCAAAGGUGAAUAGUCAAGCACUCGAUCUAAAUGAAUGGUAAUAGCAUAAUCAAGCAUCUCAACUGGCCCAUUUCUAAUGCAAGGCAUUUCAAGGUUACCCAAAUGCAUGUAGAACUCCUCUGGGGCAGUGAAAGGCUCUUCAAUUUGCAUAGUUGUUGUCUUUGCUAACCCAUUAGGAUUUGCAGUCCACACCCACAAAGCAAUCUUUUUCUUGUUUAGUUUGAUUCUCAUUGUCAAUCUCGUCUAUGAAGGAUGGGGCACUAAACAGCUGGGCUACCGACUCAAUUUGUUGUGCAUGCUUUGGCACUCCCUCAAUGCAAACCUAGCCCGGUACAGGACCUUGGAUGUUGAUGCACUAACCUGUCGAGUCCAAGGCAUGAGUCGUAGUGUUGUCUGCCCGACGGCGAGGCCCCCCCAGCUCGAGCACCAUAUUCCGCUGCUCCGGGGUGGAGAAACACAACAUGAACAUUGAGGGAGCCAGCCGCUUCACCCCCAUCUCAUACUCCGGGAUGCGAAGCUGCUGUAGAGCAUCCCGGUGUACAAUGUCAGUGGAGAUCCGAGCUCUCACGUCAACGAGGACGCAAAUGAGCGCAAUCAGCAGCAACAUCCUCUCCUCGUUGCACACCGUGCUAGAGCGCGGCGCACAUACCGUGAUGUGAUCCGGCCUGUUGCUCGCCUCCCCCAGGAUGAGCUCGGGGAAGCCGUACUCCAUUGGAGCCUUCUUGGAGGCAACCCUCUUCUCAAGAGGCGCUUUUUGCAGCUGUGACGAGGGCAUGGACGAUGAAGGUGACUUGGUGGAAGCUGCAGCAGCUAGAGACUUGGUAGUGAGAGUUGCUGUAGUGGAUGCGGAGCGGCAGUGGUGAGCUUUGUGGCCAGAGUGCGAGCACAGGAUGCACCUAGGGGGAUCCCUGCACUUAGCGAUGCAGUGGUCAGGAUCCAAGCAAUUGAAACACCAUCGCCCCGCCUUGGCCCUGAGGAGUUCUAGCCACUGUCCUUCUUGAAUGACCCUUGGUCCAAGACGCUUAGGGACGGAAGGCACUCUUGCACCCAACCUGUCAUGAAUGCUUCUUUGCCUUGCUCCGAGCCUAGACCAGACAGUAGCUGUGGUCCGGUGCGGCGCCUGUCUCUUCAUCUCAGAAUGCCAUACCUACUCACCAUGAUGUGACUUGUCCUUGGGGGACCUUGGCUUGAAGGUUUUUGCUUCAAAAGCGUAUCCUUGUAGGAGACCUUGUGAGAUGUAGGCUUUACAAAGAUGUAGGGAAUCCUGCGUUGUGCGCCAUCAGCUUUCUGUCCUCCGUCCUUGUCCCGAGAAUCUUUCUCCUUCCUUUCUGCCACUUUCUGGUCUUGUGCUGUCUUCAAUGCUGUAUCAUUGAUGUGACGAGAGCACGGGCUCUCCUCGUCGGAGUCAAAGCAGUAAUGGAGGUCGAGAGCCUCAUUCAUAAGGUGUGCUAAGGUAAGGGAGUUCUGGUUGGUGGGCGUAGCGAAGGUCUAGUUGAGAUGAUUGGUCACCAACGACGAGGCGUGCUCAGUGGUGAUUGGGACUGGUUUGUGGUUAUGGUAGAACGUCGCCGGCGAGGAGCCAGGUGGGGGAGGGGGAGCUCAGCGGAACCCAUCCCGCCACAGCCGUCAAACUGCUCUGUGCAAAAUCAUCUAUCCUCAAGGCCUUUGAGUACUGCAGAUGCAGCUGCUGAAACAGCCACCGCAAUCUGUACCGAACACUACAAAUGCACAUCACAGAAGAAAAAGCCGGCGCUGCGUACGGCAGAGCGCGGAUGUACAUAUGCUAAAAGGCCCCUGCAAAAACUGGACAGCAGAUUUGGACCCUCUUUCCCUUCUCCAGCACGCGCGCAAGCAGCUCUCACUUGGCCGCCACCGCCGCCGGAGAGAUGGAUUCCCGCGGAUUCGAUUCAGCCGGCCGCGUCUUCUCCAACGCCACAGAGAUGUGGGUGGAAGAGCUCGGCUCCACCGCCACCGCCACGACCUCCGCCGCCGCGGAAGCUGAAGCUGCCCCGACCACCGCCGCCGCCGCAGGCAACGGUGACGCCGGGGAGGAAGCGAGCGGCGACGGGAAGCGCAAGGAGUGGUACUCCAAGGCUAUCGCCUACUGGCAAGUAAAGCACCCGACUCUUCCUCCUCCCAGAGAGGCCCUGAACCCUAAACCCCCAAUACAAGUGUGCGCUCAUCGCUGCAAAUUUAGCUUAGAAUUUUAUCGAAAUGGUUCCUAGGGCGUGGAGGCGUCGACGGAGGGGGUCCUGGGAGGUUACGGGUGCGUGAACGACGCGGACGUCAAGGGCAGCGACGCCUUCCUCCGCCCUCUCCUCGCCGAGCGGUUCGGCACCGCGAAGCGUCAUCUCGUUGCCCUUGGUGAGUUUAUUACUUACAGCAUGUAGGCUUUGACUAGUGUCGGUAAAGUUUGUUUCUGUGCGAGUUUUGUUGUAUUGAUUUUGAUUCCAAUCUGUGAAAGUUGCCGUGCAAUGUUCAGUUUAUAGAAUCCUUAUGUGCAGUCUGUAAUGUUCUAUGUCAUUUUUCAAACUGUGGCAGAUUGUGGCUCGGGUAUUGGACGCGUUACAAAGAAUUUUCUUCUUAGGCAUUUCAAUGAGGUAUGCAAUUUAUCUUCUCUCAGGUGGUUUGAGGUUAUGCUUUAAUCCUGAAGACUGGCACCUUGUAGCUGUAGGCAUACCAUACCAUGGCACCGGCAAGAAACAACAUACUUCCAUUCUUCUCCUGUAUACACAAUUGAAUUGUUAUUCUAUGUUUUAUCUGUAAUAUUUGCUCUGUGCCUUAUCUGUAUGUUUUGGCCCUUUCUGAAAAUCUGGAAUUUGCCCAUCCAGGUUGAUCUUGUCGAGCCAGUAUCUCAUUUUCUUGAAGCUGCACGGGAAAAUCUUACUGGAUGUAUGGACCAAGGAGAAGACUCACACAAGGCUGCCAACUUUUACUGUGUGCCACUUCAGGUUGGUACCUAUAGAUCAUUAUCACUGGUUAGAUAUCUUCGAAAAGUUAUUCUCUCCUUUGUGUAUAAUCUAGUUUACUUCUUGCUUCAGGACUUUACUCCCGAGGAAGGAAGAUAUGAUGUGAUAUGGAUUCAGUGGUGCAUAGGGCAACUUCCUGAUGAUGAUUUCAUUUCAUUUUUUAAUCGUGCCAAGGUGAAUUGACUAAGACUUGAUUAAUUUAUUUUCAAUCCUACACUAUUAAUUUAUUUUCAAUCCUACACUGAUUUUUUGUUGGAUUCUGUUGAAUAUUUGGUUGUAGUUAAGGGCAAGUCUUAACACUUGUAUUGACAAAUAAGUGCUGUACCAUAGUUUUAGGUUUACAUAAUUCUUUUCCAUGGAAAUAAUAGCUUGCAGAUGAACUUCUUGUGCACUAGUAGAAAUAUUUUCAUUGUGUAUUUUUCAGACAUUACCUGGACAAAUGUUGUAGUCAGGGGCGGACCUAGCUCAAAAAAUGAGUGGCGGCCUGUUAGUGUAUGAGCCUUUACAAUUUCAGUAAACAGGAUCUAUGUUCACUGAAAAUAUAAACAUGAGUGGCAGCCCGUGCCCUCACUCGGCUCCAUGUAGGUCCGCCCCUGGUUGUAGUGCUAGUUGGUUAUCAAACUUUGUUCUAAGAUAACCCCAGCCCACUUUUAUACACCAUACUGUUUGCAAUCAUACUUUUUUUUUACUUUAGGCCAAACUACAGUUCAAUUGAAUGAAGCCUUCAAACUGUUAUUGUUUAUGUGCAGAUUACCAUUGCUCUAGUGUCGAUGCGUUCUAAUUAAACAUACACUUGUAACAUUCUUUCCAGGUUGGGCUGAAACCUGAUGGAUUUUUUGUUCUGAAAGAGAACAUUGCAAGAAAUGGUGAGUUUGCUGUACCAAAUAGUACUCAUCUAGAAAUUGCUACAUAGCAUUGUCUCUAAUGUUAUACUUCUUUGAGAAGACCAUAUGCUUGAUGUUGCUCAGAGUACAAAUGUUUGGUUUUUCAGGAUUUGUGUUAGACAAGGUGGAUAACAGUGUCACUAGAUCCGAUCCAUACUUUAGGGAGCUAUUUAAAAAGUGUGGAUUAUAUAUCCUCAGUGUUCAGGUAAAUGGUCAAAAGUGCCAAUGUUAUUUUGUUACAUUCUUUAUCUUUCCAAUCAUUCAUCUGAUCCUGCAAAUAAAACAGGACCAGAAGGAGCUCCCAAAGGAACUAUUUGCUGUCAAAAUGUAUGCACUGGUGACCAGUCAACCAAAAAUGCAGAAUAGUGGAAAGAGAAGGCGACCUAAAAAUAAACCUCGUAUGAUCCGUUCUUGAAAAAUGCCCAUGUUAGGUGUGCUGAUGGGCCAACUCAUUUGUAUGGUCAUGUACUAUUAUUGGUUUGCGUCAAAGUUUCUAGGACAUCAGUUUUGCAGUCUCAGUUUUGUUUCAUAUACAUUUUUUUUUUGUAUAAGCUCAAAUUUUCCUUGAGAUCAAUAUGUCCUCAAUCUCAACUGAUGUUGUAUCACCUGGUUACUGUUGAAAUGCAUGAUCUCUGUUGAGUGCAUGUUCACAUUAUUCGGAGAGGAAUAUGAUGAAGUUUUGAAUCAAAUGACCGGCAUGUGCUUUAAUUUCCUUAUGAAGUAAUGUAACAAGAUAUCGUGGAACUGGGAUUAUCUCGUGAGAAGUAAACGCCCAUUGGCAGCAAGCUGUACCUCUAAAGUUUUAAUACAUUUCUUGUGCCAUCUGCAACUGCAAGGAUAUCAUCUCCUGAUUUACCAAUCCAAAUCCCAAAUUGCUGAAUUACAUACGACUUGCCUCUCAUUUCCCCAUGCCCUUUUGAUUAACAUAAUAGCUAUAUCUAAAGGUAGCAACAUCAGUAGUGUAGUAGUGGUUUUAAUUGCAAAUGCCGUAGCUAAUGAGGAUUUUAAUCUUAACGUUUUGGGACAGUGCUGAAGCACUUGUGAGUUAACAUGAUGUUCAAAUAACAUAAUCUUCUUAUCUUCGGCACAUGGAAAUGAAUAUUUAUUAUAUGUUGCCCUAACAGUUGGUUAAGCUGUUCAUACCUUUCUCACACGCACAAUUUGAUCAUUCUCCUGAAUCUGUAAACGCAGACCCAGAGCAUCCAUCAUAUAUACCCAUUCUUCCAACUAAUAAUGCUCGACAACUCAUGAUGGGGGACCAGAGGAAGGACGGGAAGAAAGAACAUCGCAUCUGCAAGUAUCUAAUGAUCUGAUUUUGAGAACUAAAUGGAAAUAAGUAACAGGCGAUUUUGGAGACCACUGGCAAUGCUUAGAAUGAUGAGCUAAUGAAAUCACUUCACAUCAGAAUAAGAUUAACAGACAUCAGUACACAGGAACUUCGAACUGAAUGGACAUGUGAAACCCAUCGCACCAAGACAUUACUAGAAUCGUACCGCUUGAAUAUAUUACAAAUGCCCUAGAAUUUCCCAUGCCAAGAAUUCUGUUAUGUGUGUCAGUUCUUCUUCCCAGUUGUCGCCGAUGGAGGCAAUGUACCAAAAAUAGUGUCCCAGAGCGUUGAGGUGAUGCCAAAGCCCUUGUCUUGGAUUCUGAAGUGGUGGUUGAGGUGAUACCGCUGCAGAACAGGCAAAAUUGCGAGGAAUCAGAACCUUGUGGAAAUUUGCAUGGAGCAGCUAGCUGAUUCAUGACUUAAGUGGUUAUGCCCUCACCUUGAGAUGUUUUGCUGGGUCCUUGGAUGGUUGUCCAUGGUGCAGAUAGUAGUGGGUGCAAUCAUACAUCACAUAUCCCAAUAGACCACCUCCAAACAAUGCAGGAGUGGUAGAUGGAGUUGCAAAGAAAGCAACCAGGUUCCAGAACUGAAAAAGAAAACAUUGGACAGUUCGACUAAAUCAGUCAUGUUACUUCUGAAUGGUCAAAAGUUUCAUGUUAAUAAAAUCCAAUUCUAUGUUUAAUUUUAGCUUCAGGGUCAUACUGGGAAACACAAAAUUGCUGUUGCAGUAGGAGGAAAUACAAGCCUGAGAGAGUCCAUAGGGUGCUUAUGGUGGCACCCAUGAAGAAGGUAAUGUGCGGUGUUUGACCUACAACAGUGCAUCAACAACAAUUUGAUUAGCAGAAGGAAGACAUAGUGCGAUGUUGGAUCCUUCAAGGAUGAAGCAUUGUUACCAGUAGGUUUUGGUCUCAAUGUGGAAUAGGAAACGGUGCAAAGUAUAUUCAAUCAAUGUCCAAAUAAAUAUUCCAAACAGAGCUAUCAGAACUACUUCCUGAAUGGUAUGACCCAUCAGAAUAGACUUCACGAAGAAGUAGCAAACAACAGGCAGCCAUAUGGUUGGCACAGCCCACCACUUUGUGCGUGUCAAGAACUGGAGAUUCAAAAAUUCUGUUAAUACAGUUCACUUUCCAAAACCCUCGGUAUACCAAUAUGAUGGAAUACGUUACCUCCAGGACAUCAUUUCCGAAAAAACGUGGACCCUCCUUGCUGACGAUAGGUUGGUGAACCCAUUCCUGGUAACGUUCCUCAAGAUGGCCAACCUUCAUUCACAAAAUCAAGAACAAAACCAGAAUAAGGUUACUUUAGCUAAAGCGACUAAACUUCUAGUCAGAAACUCAGAAUUUAAUAACUGCAGGAGAUUCUUUCAUAAUUUACAGCAGAACCAUGUCUACCACAACUAUUGCCAAGAAACAAAAAAACACAAUCCCACAUUAGAGAUGGUUGUCAAAAAUCCAAAGUAGUACUAAACAAGCUCAAAAACAAUGAAAAAUUUAUGUGCUUGCCAAUUUCAUGAGUUACUUUGCACCUCAGCACUUACGAGCGAAAUCGUACCUGGAAAACAAGAGGCUUGUUCAGAUCAACAGUGAACUCCUGGACAACCAUCUUCCCCAACCAGAGCUGCACCACAGAAUUCCACGUUACAUGCCAAACAGAACAGUCAAGAAAAAAUAAACAGCUUCGGAAAAAUACAGCACAUACAGCACAGAGGCACUCCUACGCGCAAGACAGGUGACGACUGAAACCAAUUAUGAAUGACAACGGAGAGAGCCGGUGCCAUACCAAACUACUAGUGAGUAUCAGGCCUAAACGCAAAUGCGGAUGCCAUGAUUGCCACCUUUUCCCCCAGCCCUUGACAAGGUUCCUCUUACUAAGCAAUCCUCAGCAUGUGGCUCCAGGCACAAAACAGGCAAUCUUUAUCUCCUUUACUUCUCACCCACACUGGAUGUUCACACGAAUUUGGCAACCAAUACUUCAGUGCUAUAAGAGUGUGCUACACGAUUUUUUUUCUCAGGCAAAUGUUUACGCGAAUCUGAACAGAAUGACAACACCGUCGCAGCAAAAUGCGGCCACAGAAAUCUCGGCCUAGAUCCAAAACUUCGUGUCAAAAAGCGCGCUGCCCUCGAGUCACCAUUGCUGAACCACGAAGAUCCCGAAAAAUCCACGCAAUGUCCUACAUCUAGGAAACUAUACACCAAGCGCCAUUGCGCGAAUAGAACCAAUGCGGCCGCGAGGUCUACGACACAGAACCCGGAACAGCACGAUGGGAUCGAGAUAUGGGUUCAGGGGGACCUCACCAGCAGCGGCAGCAAUGGCGGCCCCUUCACCGGAGCCGGAGCCGCCCUCCUCCCCGGGCGGCGAGAGAGAGGAGGGGCGAACGACGACGAAGAGGAGCAGCGGAGCGGAUGACGCGAGAGGGAGGGGCGCGAAUAAGAGAGGAAGGGCGGGGGCUAUCUGGAAAAAGAAUGAGUCGCGCCUCCCUCUAGUCCCCCUCUCCUCCAGUCUGCCGCCAGAGGGACCCACCACACCCCCGUGCUGAGCUGUGCGCGUUUUGCAAUUAGUGGGGUUCUGCAGGGGUGCGCCUAUAAUUGGUGAUCCGCCAAGGGCUCUCGCUCUCUCAAAUAGAGGGGGCGCUGAUGGGGGUGGGGUGGGGCCCGCCGCCAGCUUGGCUGUGGCCUGUGCCCUGCUGUGCUGCUCCUUGAAUUUGUGAUGGGGGACGGACGACAGUGCAUAGUGAGCUAUCAGCAACGGCAAACAAAACAAAGACAAGAACACGUCCAGUCUAACAAAGCAUUUUGGCAAGAGCUGGUGCAAGAUCACCAGAUGCUCGAAGGUUUUUUACGACCCUAAGCCGUUUACGAGCCAUGUUUGGAACUCGGAGGUUUUCGAGAGAAUUCGGUUGGAGUUUACGCUAAUUUGUGCAAAAACAAAAAAAAAA
rnacentral:lncRNA from 1 species